AAGAAAUGAUAAGGGGACAGCUCACAACGGCUACUUUCUCUUUUAUUCAAGCUGUACAACGUCUAUAAUUCACUCCACGACGCCUGUCGGACUCCAGAACUUUCUACCUAGUCCCGGGUCCCACCUCCAACGUUCCGAAAUAGUACAACGUUACACAUUCAUCACGCCACGCCUAUAAAUACCGCUCUUUGCUAACACUUCUUCUCAUACCCAAAUACAUCUCACAUUAUAACCUCUCUCUCUCCCCUGCAUUUUCUCUCUCUACAAAUUGUAAUUUAUAUAUAGCAGCAAUGGCGUUCUCCAAGGCUAUCAUCUUUUUCUUCGUCUUCGUGGUCGCUUGCAUGACUGCCGCUGCUGGACAAGAGCUUGAUCUCGCUCCGGCGCCGGCGCCGUCGAUGGACUCUGCAGCUUCUUACCCUGCUGCCGGAGCUGCGGUGGCUUUUGUUUCCAUGUUCGUUGCUCUUUUGUGGCACUAGACGGAGAAAAACAGAAUAUAUUAUAUAAACCUAUAAUAAUAAUAAUAUAUUAUUAGUAGAUUUAAGUGAUGGUUUACUUACUACAAGAGAGAUGUGUUGUGAUGUGGUGAGAUGAGAUCUUGCAUUUGUUAUUCUUUAGGGUCCUAAUUUCGAAUUGGGGCUCUUUUCUUAUCUAUUCGUUUGUUUUUUCACUACAUUUCAUGGUGUUGUGGAUUAUAUUCAGUUUAUUUGAUUUCACUGCUCUUUCAAUGGAUGAUUUUAUAUGUAUGCCUCGACUUUAUUCAGUUCUCGACCAAACUGGUCUCGGAUUUAUUUUGAAUCUAAACUUUGAAAUAUAACAGCAUGUAUACUUAAAAGUGGGCGGCCGCUAACAAAAAAGGAGAAAGAUUUAUAUGGACAUUUAAAAUUUAAACUAAAGCGAAAUUCCCUUUUCAGAUUAGUAUACUUUAUAAGCUUGACUCGAUUAAUUUACUGAUCGGAAAUUAUAGGUUAUCUUUUUAUAAUAUUAAUAAAAUUAAUAAAAUAACAUAUACAUGCAUUAUUUUGACUUGUAAUAAUAUCAUUAAAAUAAUUAAAAUUAAUAUUUAGAAGUUUUUAUUGAAUCUUUUUAUUGUAUCAAAUCUUACAUGUCGUUUCAUUUGAAGGUGAAAUUUUGAUUAUAAUUUUUUAAUGUACUUAAAAGAGUUCCAUUUAUCUUAUGAUAAUAUUUUUAAGAGGAAUUCCAAAAUUUUAUAGUUUUAUGAUAUAUUCGAGAGGAGUUCCCCGCUUUCACAAUCUAAUGUAUUUUUCACAUUUUCUUAAUCUUAUAAUAUUUUUUUAUGAAUUCGAAAUUCAAGCCAUUUUGAUACCUUUUAGCUCUUUUAAAUAAUACAGGCACGCUUUUUCAAAAUUUGCAACGACUACUUUUCUCUUAAAACUCAACCCCAUGAUUUUCCUUAUUUUAAAGCUCAACUAUUAUUGAAAAUCAAUUUAUUUUGCUGUAAUAUAGUUGGAACUCCACCUUGUAUUUCUUUUUCCAAGCCAUUUAAAGUGUAAUAAUAAUUAUAUUUUGUUUUUAUUUAAGAAAAAAAUUAUAUAUUAUUUAAAUGAUAUAUUUUCAUCAGUCCAUUUAAAUUAUAUAUUUUGUUUUUACAACAUAAUUUUUUGUGAUCAAAUUAUCGAUCGUUAUUAACUUAAAUUCGAUUGGAAUUGGACAAUGAAUACCAAUCGAUCAGAUGACCCUAAUCGUCAUCAGUCACAUCGAUCGUUAUUGGCAUUGACAAGAGGAAAAACCCUUCUCCAUGUAGGUUGGCCCAUAUUAGUGUCAUAUGACCACCACGUGUCUUCAGUCACAUCGAUCGUUAUUGGCAUUGACAAGAGGAAAAACCCUUCUCCAUGUAGGUUGGCCCAUAUUACUGUCAUAUGGCCACCACGUGUACGCGACUAUGCUGACAUGUCAGUAUGGGUCCAAGUCACGUGGCAGAUGAAGCAGUUUUACAUUUUCUCAAGAAUUAUAACCACUAUAACACCGCAUAUUCAGUCAUAAUUGGGUCGGUCGGUUCGCAGAGCCGUUAUGGACUAGCGACUACUUGUGUUUAACAGGCGUGACCGAUAUAUUAUGAUUGACUAAUUAUGAAGAUGGUCGUAAUUUUAUUUUAUUUUUGGUCAGGAUCUACAUACUCGUAGAUAAAUUGUAUCUCGAGAUACAAUAACCACUACAAGGGAUUUCAUUCAUAUAAAAAAAGAUUACCAUUUAACCGAAACACAUGCAAAGAUAUCUCCGGACGUUUAGAUAAUAAUACUUUAAUGUCUGAGAGGAAAAACCUAUAUAAAUCUCUACCAAGAGUCCUGCAAAAAACAAACGAAAUAAGAAGAAACAUAAGUUCAUAUAUAAAAAUAUAUACAUUACAAAAAUUAUAAAAGAUAAUAUAUCCAAAAAUAAAUUAUUUCUAAGGGUGUGUGUGUGUGUAUUUACUAAAGUAAAAAAUUAAAUAAAAGUCUCAACCAAAGAAGGAUUUUUGGUUAGACAUUAAAAUAACUAAAAAUUAGUUAAUUGCUUCUUACAAGCCGAAAUAUACGCCGUCAUUUAUGGCCACCAUGAAUGAUACAAAUUCACCUCAAUCAAGGCACAAUUAACAUUUAAACCGAUUAAAGUCAACAAUAAAGACCACAAGAAAUUGUACUAAAUAUUCAUAAAAAAUAUCUAUCUAAAAUUAGAACAAGAUAUAUUGAAAAAUUUAAUCAUUUCUAAUUUAAAAAUUAUUGCACAUUAAUACACAUACACAUAUCUUAUAUAAAAACAAUAUCAUAAUUAAAAAUAAAUUGAUAUUGAAAUCAUAACAAAUUUAUCAUCAACAAAACAGGCACCUAAAAACAAGUUAAAAAACUUAAAACUUUUAAAUUAGAAGAUCAAAACACACACUAAACAUACCCACACAAUCAAGAACACCAAGAACACAUAUCAAAAUCUACAAGAAACCUAAUUUCAAAAUAAUAUUCCGGCCAACUAAAACAAAUUUGGCCAAGACAAAACAUGUCGGAAAGGUUACGAAACUCGACCUGAUCUACAAACUAAUCCAAACAAAAUUUCCAAAACCAGAUACAUAUCCAUGAUUUCGAUCAUCUAAAAACUAUGAAACCUUAAAAUUAGAAAAGGAAAAACACAAAAAGAUUACUAUGAUACAGAUAUGCUAUCAUAAAAUAUACAAUAUAAAUAAUACAAACAACAAAACACACGAUAAACAUUUAUUUUUGAUUACAACAAGAUAUUCGAGAAAGAAGCGUAUCUUUUCAAGGAGAUGUGAUACCUUGAUUACAUAUAAAAUUGAGAAAAUACCUUACCGAAUCCAAAAAUAAAGUUCAUAAAAUCACCAUCAACAAAAUCACUUUUUGGAUCGAUCAAGACCUAAUCUAACUGUUGUAAUUAUCUAUUUUGGAAUGAUCAAAUUAGUCUGGCUAGGAGGGGUGAGUCGAUUAGCCGACUCUCUUUCAUUGCACAUCUUCCCAACACACUCACUCUCUUGUUGUAAUUAAGAUGAUGGUCGUAAUUAUCUAUAAAUGUAAUCAUCCUUUUUUUUAUCAAUUUCAAUCAUUUUUAUGGGUAAAUAAUGAUUAGUUCCUGUUGUUAUUUUUGCAGCUGGGUCGUUAUUAAACUCUAUUUUUUACUACUGCCAUUGCAGGACCUAUCAGUUUCCACCAUUAACAAAUUAUCAAAACUAAUAUUUGUAGCAAAUCAAUAACAUCCAAACCAACAAUCAUCACAAACAUCUUAAUGUAAACUAACAACCAUCACAAUAUCUUAAUCUAAUAACCAUUACCAAUAAAUUAAAAAAAACGAUCAAAUUAUCACAAAUACUAACAAUCUAACUAAAUUAUGUGUCAAUUGAUCAAUCAGCUAUAGUCUAAAUUAAAAAAAUACUCCCUCUAUCCCCAUUUUCAUGUUCAUUUUGAAAAAAAAAAACACAUAUCAGGGAAUAAUUGUUUCUAUAAACUUUUUUCUUGACAUACCUCUAAUUGAUGUCUUGAAAAUGAUAGUACCCAUAAUUAAUGACUUGAAAACGUGAAUUCAACUAAGUUUUAAAUAAGUCAAACCUUAGAAAUUAUGGGGAUAAAUUUGAAAAACUAUCUUUAAUUUUUUUGUUUUCAGUAAAUGAAUAUGUAAAUAGGAACAAAAUUUAUUUUGAAAAUGAACAUAUAAAAGGGACGUAGAGAGUACAUUCUAAGAGCAACUUCAACCAUAAAAAACCCUUAACUAAAUGAAUUGGCUACGAAAAAUAAAAAACUAUGAAUAGUCUUCUCAGGAUAUUACUUUGUAACCAUACAAUUUCCUUAUCUACAAUUUUAGCAAAACCUUUUGGAUAACUUUAUUUGUCGAAUUAUAUAACAAAUGCCGCCUCAUCGAUUAUUAUAUUAAAACAAUAACAUUUUAUUUAUAAAGUACUAGUUCUAAAAUACAUUCAAUCAAUAUAAUCAUUACCAUCAAAGAAAAAUGUCUUCUCGCACAAAUUUUACAUAAAUAUUACAAGUCCAUUUUAGAUGCUCUAACUUGAUUAUUUAUAUUGCAAUAUGUAUUACUCCCUCCGUCCCAGCAGGAAGUUUACGUUCACUGUUUGCACGCAUUUUGAGGCUCUUAUAAAGUAUAGUUCAAUAACCUUUUUUUAAAUUAUUUUUUUUUGAAUAAUAGUUUAAACGUCAAACUUUUUUUCAGGAUUUUUUUUCAAAAAAACACAUUAUAGAACUAUAUUUUAUUGGAGUCUCAAAAUGCGUGCCGAAAAGUAACGUAAAGAACCUGGUGGGACGGAGGGAGUACAUGACUAAAAAAUUAAAAAUUAUUUAUAAAAGCAGUGUUUUUUGAGUAAAUUAAUAAAAGCAGCUAAACAAAUAUUUUGUUGACGGCGGAUUUAAACCACAUUAUUCUUUUAAUAAAUUUCGGUAGGCAACAGCACAAUUACUACAGUUUCAAAUAGACUCAAAAUUACCCUAAUAAUCCAAUUAAAACUCCCGAACUCUCUCCGAGUCAAAUUCUCUUCAUUUGAUUCACAGAUGUGGACUUAGACAAAGGUAAUAAGCUCAACGCUUUGCGUAUCAUCCAGUCUUUUCCUUGUAAUUUUGUGAUUUGUAAUCUGUUGUAUUUGUUCAUUUCUAUACUUUCAGUGUCAUCUUAGGCUGUGUUUAAGUUUUUACUUGAAGAAAGGACAAUAAAGAUUGAAGCUUUCUAGUUCUUCUUGUAUUGUUUCUUGCUUUGUAUGUGCAUCUAUUGUUUUUAGGGUAUUUAAAGUUCUGGGUAGGUGUUGGAUUUGAGUGAUCAUGCUUUGUUGUUGAAUUUAAUUGAAUUUGACCCAAAUUAGCUGAUUGGUCUGUUGUGCAUAUACCAAAUUUAACAUAGUGGUUGAUUCUUGCUUUUUGAAUACGGUUAAAUUAGAGAGGUGUUAUGUGUUUUGUUGUUUAUUGAUAUAUAGAAUAGAGCAUUUAUUGGAUCGGAUAAAUACUUGUUUUCAAUGUAUUGAAUAGAGCAUUUGUGGGAUUCUGGAUUGGAACUUAUUGUCGGGUAAUGGAUAAUACUUCUGUUGGUAGUGGGUUCUUGCUGGGUCCGAGUGUAGGUUUUAUUGACCUUGAGUCUCCGGUUCAGCAGCGUCAGCAGUCUCAGUUGGGUCAGUCGUCGACUCAACAUCAAAUGCCGUCUACUAUGAAUAUGUUAGGAGGCAAUGACGAUGAUCGGUCGAUUAGAUUCAUGGAUGGGAAAGGUCUCAACCCCAAGAGUUUCUCAAUGAGUUUUGGAAGAGGCAAUGUUGCAUGUGUUAAUGCUGUGAAUCAUCACAGUGUGAGUGAGGAGGAUGAGCCGAAUUUUGAGGAUGGGAAUGGAGAGAAUUCUAGUGGGGCCAAGGGAAAAAAGGGGUCGCCGUGGCAGCGAAUGAAAUGGACGGAUAUGAUUGUGAGGCUUUUGAUACAAGUGGUUGCUUGUGUUGGUGAUGAUGGCAGUCUGGAUGGUUUUAAGGGGACGAAAAGGAGCUCUGGUAUGUUACAAAAGAAGGGGAAAUGGAAAACUGUUUCGAAGAUAAUGAUAAGUAAAGGGUGUUAUGUUUCACCUCAGCAGUGUGAAGAUAAGUUUAAUGAUUUGAACAAGAGAUACAAGAGAUUGAAUGACAUUCUUGGAAGGGGAAUGUCUUGUAGAGUGGUAGAAACCCCUUCUCUUAUGGACUCAAUGCCACAACUCUCUAGUAAGAUGAAGGAGGAUGUCAAGAAAAUCUUAAGCUCAAAGCAUUUGUUUUACCAGGAAAUGUGUGCUUACCAUAAUGGACAACCGAUACCCAACUGUGCUGAACUUGAUUUGCAAACUCAUUCUUUACCGAAUGUUCAAUGUUCAAAAGAGAAUAAUGUUUCAGAGGCAGAAGCUGAAGAAGAUUCUGAAGAUGAUGAUGGUGACUCUGACAGUGAAAACGAUAAUCCUGCUGAUCAAGAUUUUGAGACAUUUGGUAGAGCAAAUGCACAUGAAGAUGGAUUCCAAGCUGAGGUAGCUAGAUUUUUUGAAGACCCGACAAAGUCAAAAUGGGAACAAACAGUGUGGGCCAAAAAGAAAAUGCUGGAACUACAAGACCAGCGAGUUAGCAUCCAAGCUGAGUCUUUUGAGCUGCAGAAACGACGCUUCAAGUGGGAGAGGUUUUGUGAGAAAAAGAACACGGAGUUGGAGAUUUCAAAGUUAGAGAAUGAGAGGAUGUUGUUGGAGAAUGAACGAAUGGCAAUGCAGCUGAAGCAUAAAGUAGUGGAGAUGGACUCAGGAAAUCAAGGACCGUCAGUCAAUCAGAUACAUAACCCCAACAGACAACAAGUAAAAAAUCAGAUUGAUUUAGGCAGACAUUUAUAGUUUUAUGAAGUUGCUUAUGUUCUUUUAUUUUAUAUAUAAUAACAUCCUUAUUUGUAUCCUGGGAAAAAACUACCAAGGUGUGCAGUAGCAUAUGAAGUGCAUCAAAUCCCAAGAUUCACAUUCAGUGUACUAGAGUUCAUUAGACUGUGUGUAUUCAUCUUGUUGAGAGUUCUCUCGUGUAAAAUUUAGCAAGAUUGAUUAUCAUGUUUUUUUUUAAAAAAAUUCUAUUGCAUUUUGGCAUUUAAAGGAUCAUAGUCAGAAAUCCAUAAAAUGAAUUAAAUGAUGCCUGUGCCUUUUGGUGAAUAUUUGGUUUGAGUUUAAGACAUUUUGAUACACAAAAACAUGUUACCAUUGACUAUGAAUAAUGCAUGAUGCACCUCUCAGCAACUCUCUAUCCUUUGUUGCUUUUAAAUAUUCAGCAUUUAUGAUCACUGAUGUGCAAGUAUUUGGAGUCCAUCUUUGCACCCAGUUUGGAAGAUAUAUAAGUACUCUAGCAGGGUUCCAGUACUCUGUUAGUGGCCUUCUCAGGACUUUAGGAUUUACAUAUAGAGCUAAUAUUCCUUCUGGUUCUUAAUUCUAUAUUUCGGAGUUAAAUUGUCCUCUUCAUUCUGAUUCAAAUAUUUAGAAAUCUUUCUUCAGUUAUGUUUGAUCGCAGUAAACUUGUGAAAGCACAGGACUCCAUUUUUCUGCCGAAUGUGUAAAUUACAGUUGGAUCAUUGUGUUCAUAUUCAAUUUCUCGUCACUGCUGUGUACUUUUCUAAAUGUUCAAUACUCUGCAAGAGUGUAUUUAUAUGAAAAGAAGUAACUUCAUUCUGUGGCUUAAACUUGAAUCAUUCUUGAGGUAACCAAAUUUUAGCAUGCCCCCCCUCAGGAAUUUGUGGGCAAGAUAUAAAAACAUAUUCUAUAUAUUAGAAUUUAGAGAAUUUGGGGGCACUGGCCACUCUGUACUCCAUUGGGCUGGCUGGCUUUACAUGCUUGCAGCUAGUCACCUUUGAAAGAACUUUCAGGCUUGUAUUAAUAUAUGAAUGAAACUAUUUUUUUAUACUUUGAUGUAAAGCUAUUCUUCUAACAGAAGAGUCGUGUCAAAUUUUAUCACGCUCUAGCCACCUAGUUAUUGAAUUUUCUAGUUGUAUAUUUUAUAAUGCCCGUAUAACCUAUCUUUGCAUAGGUGUAAUCUACAUGCACGUUUGCUUGAUCUAAAAAAAAAAUGUUUAUUCGAAUUUAUAUAUAAGUGAAAAAUAAUUUUUAAAUUAUGCGCUUGAAUAAUUUUUAUUUGAUAUUUAUAAUUUUCGGGUAUAAAAAUUAGAAAUAUAAUAAUAAAAUAUCAUAGAUUAUUUUAAAAUGAUCCUUCACAUGUUUAUAAAAUUAAAAUUUUUUAAAAUAAAAAACAUCGCUAAAAAAGGUAGGAUUUUCAAGUUUUUAGACUCUAACUUAUAAGUUGGAAGCACAUGUAUAUGAAUAAACUGUUUCCGACUUAGAAAAUCCAGACCGAGUGAAAUACCAAAUAUAUACAAUAUUAAUUGAUUUUUCAAAAACUUUCAUACUUUUCUUGUAAAAAAGAAAGUGAAGGUAUUACUAAAUUUACUUUAUGACACGUGAUAUACCGUGUCCAUACAGUUAAAUUACCUAAGGUCGAAAUUAUUUUUACAAAUAUAUACUACAUCUUUUUUAAAUAUUUUACAAAAACAUCAAACUUUUGAAAAUAUUUGUAAAAAUAUUGUAUGCAACUUUUUGCAACGACAUGCAAUCAUACUUGUAACCAGAUGCAACCAUAUUCGCAAUCAGGUGCGGGACCAAUUAACUGAAGUUGAAGUUGCAUCUGGUGGCAUAUAGUUGCAAACUGUAUUUUUGCAAAUAUUUUCAAAAAAGUUAGUAUUUUUGCAAUUUUUCUCAAAAGAUACUAGAUCGCAAAAAAAUUAGAAGAAGUGACAUUUUUGAUAAAUUCCCUUCAAAGUAUUAUUUAAAUGUUUAUAAAUAAAAUCAUUAUUUUUUAUUUAUAAUUUCCUUUUUUAAAAUGACAUUUCUGAUGCGAUCAAAAUGUGUAAUUUUAAGGAGAAAUAAGACCAAAUCGAAACUUCUAGACAUCCACAAAUUUAGGCACCUGCCAAAAGAAAAUUCAAAAACAAACACUGGUCAAACAAAAGUCAAACCUAAUCCGACGGCUGAAACAGAAAGAAGCCCAAAGUCAUAAGCCAGCUCCGAGAAACAGUGAAUCCAACCCAACCCAGCCCCUACAAAUAUCCCUAAAGCUCGGCCCAUUUAUAUCACCCCAUUACUCGUAUAUAAAUAGCUCCACACAUUUUGGCCUCUGCUAACCCUGAUUUGCCUUCUCUUUCUCUCUCAUUUCGGCUCUCUCUCGGCUGCGUGCUUCUCGAGGCAGAAGGUAUACUUACAGAAACAUUAACUUUGUAUCUAUACAGUCUUGUUCUUCUUCUCCGAUUUCAUCGCUAAAUGUCUUGUUUAUGCUCUUUUUGUUUUCAUUUUUCGAUUAAUUGUAUGUGCUGUGUUGAUGUGAUGAAGCGUAUAGUGUAGAUCUGUGUUUGUUUGAUGUAAAUUAUGUGUUUUCUUGUCAGAUCGUAUCGGUUUUUACUGUUGAUCUGAAUUGUUUGUGUUUAGGCUGAAUUAUUUGUAUUUGAUUUGUGAUCUUGUGCUGAUGUUUGGCUAGAGAUUUGUUAUUUUAUGUAUUGACAUGUUUUAUUGAAGUUUAUAUUUGAACAAGAAAUGAAAUCUGUUGUAUAGAGUUGUGAUGUGUGUUUUUAGCGAAGUCUAUGAGCAAUGUUUAGUUUCGGGAUUAGAUCUAUAUGUAUUUCAUUUGAAUCUGACUUUUUUAGUCCGAAUAGCUGCCAUGUUUUGGAAUACCUGAAUUAUUGUGUAUGUUGACUGUAGGAGUGCCUCUCAUAUCUUUGUUAUUUUCCAGUCUAAACUUUCACUUGUGUUUGAAUUUUUAAAAAGAAUUUCACGUACUUGAAGAUAUAAUGUUAGUUCAAGAUACUGCUUUAUCAAUUUCGGAGUCAUGAUUUUGCAAAUUUAUUAAAAAAAAAUUGCUGGUAUGUAUAUAUUUUUUAUGGUGACUGCCAGGCUGCCACUCAUCUGUUUCCAUUGUAUGUAAAGGACAAUUGUGUAUGCUUUUCAAUUUUUGUUUAUGGGUAUUUAUCUUGUUUAGAGGAAGAAGUGAUGCUCCUAUUUUUAAUAUUUUUUGUUCUUUUUGUUGUUGUAUUACUGAAUGUGUAUUGUUGUCACUCUAAAUUUAGGUACUGUCAUCACUCAUCAGUUUAGUGUUUACAUGUUUGUAGUGCAUCUUUUUUUCAGUAGUCCCUGUUUUCUUUUAAUUUAUCUGUUUUUUGUUUUUAUCCUUCUAUGAAACUUGCAUGAAUAUUUUUGUUCUACUUCGACACACACACAUAUGAACGUAAUUGUUUUAAUAUGACUCAUUUGGUUUGCUAUAUGCAGGAAUUCAUUUUCUUGAAGUGAUGGCUGAUCAGAAGCACUUCCCAACUGUUGCUCACAAGUUGGCUGGACAGUUCCAUGUUAGUUCCAGCCUAUCACAAGAUGUUAGGAGCCGCUAUGGAGCACCUGCACAGCGAACCCAGUUUGCCUAUGGAAACUACACAAAUGCAGGAUUUCAAUACCCCCAGACAUGUGUAUCCAGGGAUCUAAUUGCUGCCAACGCUUCACCUAUCUUUGUUCAAGCUCCUGCUGAGAAAGGGCUUGCAGGUUUUGCCAUUGAUUUUCUCAUGGGUGGUGUCUCAGCUGCAGUGUCCAAGACUGCUGCUGCUCCCAUUGAGCGUGUGAAACUUCUUAUUCAGAACCAAGAUGAGAUGCUCAAGACUGGUCGUCUUUCUGAACCAUACAAAGGUAUUGGUGAAUGUUUCAGUAGAACAAUCAAGGAAGAAGGUUUUGGAUCUCUAUGGAGAGGAAACACUGCCAAUGUUAUCCGUUACUUCCCCACUCAGGUUUUUCUUCAUUUUGUCUUUGUAACUUUUUGUGAACAUUUUGAUCCACAAUUUGCUGUUUCUUUUAAUUUAGAAACAUUGGUAAUGAUUGUUCUUUUCUGUAGGCUUUGAACUUUGCGUUCAAAGAUUACUUUAAGAGCCUAUUCAAUUUCAAGAAGGACCGUGAUGGUUACUGGAAAUGGUUUGCUGGAAACCUGGGAUCAGGUGGUGCUGCUGGUGCAUCUUCCCUACUCUUUGUUUACUCCUUGGAUUAUGCUAGAACUCGUCUUGCAAAUGAUGCCAAGGCAGCAAAGAAGGGUGGAGAGAGACAGUUCAAUGGAUUGGUUGAUGUUUACAAGAAGACUCUUGCUUCAGAUGGUAUUGCUGGGCUCUACCGUGGAUUCAACAUUUCUUGUGUUGGUAUCAUUGUGUACCGUGGUUUGUACUUUGGAAUGUAUGACUCCUUGAAACCAGUUCUUCUCACUGGAAAGUUGCAGGUCAGUGUAUAUCCUUAAUUGUUUGUUGCCAUGGAUGUACUUCCCAAUUCAUAACCCUUAUAAUAUGUUUUUCUCAUGGUAGUUGGAAUAUUAAUUAUUUGCUUAUUUUUGCCUAGUAAGCUACAUAUAUGACUUUUUUACUGACAUGCACUUCUGUAUCCUAUAUGGGCAUUCAGGAUAGUUUCUUUGCUAGUUUUGCACUCGGUUGGGUGAUCACAAAUGGUGCUGGACUUGCCUCCUACCCCAUUGACACUGUCCGUAGAAGAAUGAUGAUGACAUCUGGUGAAGCUGUGAAGUACAAGAGUUCCCUAGAUGCAUUCACCCAGAUUUUGAAGAAUGAGGGUGCUAAAUCUCUGUUCAAGGGUGCUGGUGCUAACAUUCUCCGUGCAGUUGCUGGUGCUGGUGUGCUUGCAGGGUACGACAAGCUACAGGUCAUUGUGUUCGGCAAGAAAUUCGGAUCAGGUGGAGCCUAAACUGGAGGAUUUGUUCUCCCUUUUUUAUUUUAUUGUAGCCGUAGAUGGUGAUGAAAAUCUUUUCCUUUUCAAAGUCUGAAUUAAGAACAUGCAAACAGAGCAUUAAUAUUCAAAUAACUAGACUUGGUGUCUAGUUUUAAACAUGACCCUUAUCACUGGGUAUUUUUGUUACACAAACCUGAUAACUGCGGAAGCUAUUUUGAGCUCAAGUGUUCCGAAAUUUAUUUAUAGUAGUUUGAAAGUCCUAUCUUAUGUUUUGUUAUUUGUUGUCUUGGUUUAAUUUUUUCUGCUCCGUGAUUUUCUAGUCGUUCUAUCUUUUCUUGAAUUGCGUUGUAGCUCUGCUUGUUGCUCUAGUUUAUGAUUUAUUUAAAGAAAAAUCAGGAUCAGAGAUGGACCUUUUGUAUAAAAUGAUAUUUUCUAAUUAUAAAUUUCAUCGAACUUUUCUAUCACUGUUUUUUGUAAAUUGUUUUAUUGAAUCACUUUAGUUUAUUUUUUGAAUUUUUAUAUUAUCUUAUGUUUAGUUUGAAAGUCCUAUCUUAUCUUUGGUUAUUUGUUUUCUUGUUUUAAUUUUUUCUGCUCCAUGAUUUUCUUGUGGUUCUAUUUCUUUUUGAAUUCCGUCUGUAGUUCUGCUUGUUGCUCUAGUAUAUAUAUUUAAAAAAAAUCAGGAUUAGAGAUAGAACUUUUGUAUAAAAUUAUAUUUUCUAAUUAUAAAUUUCAUCAAGAUAAAAAAUACUUUUCUAUCAUUGUUUUUUUGUCAAUUGUUUUGUUGAAUCACUUUAGUUUAUUUUUUGAAUUUUUAUAUUAUCUUUGUGAAUUCUUUUAAUCAAAUUAUGUAAUAUUGUUGAAUUCAUAUCUAUUAUUUUGACCAGUGUUGUACAAAUUGAGAAUAGGACAUAAUCAUAUGAGUAAUAAAAUAAAGAUUAAUGAAUAAUUAAUUGGAUAAUUAUGUAAAUAAUUUGAUUAAAAGUCAGUUUAGUGAACUAUGGAACAUUAAUUAAUGAUUAAUUAGAUUGAGCGGGAUUAAUUGGAUGAUUAUGUAAAUAAUUGUAUCAAAAAUCAAUUCAGUGAACUACGAAACAUGGAUUAAGUGGUGAUUAAUUAUGAUUAUUCAUUGAUUUUUUAAACAGAGAUUUUGACUAUGAAAAUGUAAUAUAAGUAAAUGUUAAUAAAUUUACUUAUAAAAAUAUGACGAGUAUUAGUAUGUAAAAAAUUAAUUAUAGUUUUUUAUUAAGAAAGUAUAAACAUACUCUUAUAUAUAUUCUAUUUAUAAUAAUAAAAUUUCGACUUGUUUGUAAUUCGCACCCUUUUGGUUCUAACUAAUUGCACUUUACGCCUAAAAAGUUUAAGGAUAUACAUUUUGCAUUUUGCAAUCCUUAUUUAUUAAACCCGUCACAUUUAAAACCCUUUCCAUUAUGUUUUACUGUUAACGUUAAAUAAUUUAAGGGCAAAACUGUCCAAGAAUAUUUUUUGUUUUAGUACUCUUCAUUCUUGUAGCUAAUCUUCUCUUAUCAAUAUACAAUUAAAAUCAGAGGGUCUUUUGUCACAGAUUCAAAACUCAGUUCCACAAAUUUCAUCCGGACCUCGCACAAGACUACUUCCUAUCGUGUAUUAUAUUUUCAAUUGCGUUCAAUCUAUGCUAGUAAAAUCCAGUAAAAUGAGCAUAAAAAACAAGAUUUUAGAGUUUCUGUUGUUUUUCAUGCUGAAGGAGAUACAUACAAGCAUGAUAUAUAUAUGUACAAACUGAUACAUAGCCGUUGAAAUAUUUUUGGACAAUUUUGCCCUUGCAUUAUUUCACGUUAACAGCAAAAGAUAAUAAAGAGGGUGCUAAAUGUGAUAGAUUUAAAUAAAUAAGGGUUGCAAAAUGUAUAUUCUUAAAGUUUUAGGUGCAAAGUACAAUUAGCUAAAAUCAAAGGAGUGCGAAUUAUAAUUAAGUCUAAAAUUUUAUGUUCCUACUAGUUAGGCGACGAAUUCUCCAUUCCUUUGUACCUUUCAUUUAGAUACUAAUAGUUAGGCAACGAAUCCUCCAGGGUUUUCACAUCGAGAAUUUUUUGCAGAUGUUAAAGCGUCCAACUCAUAAUUGGCGAAUUCGUAGGUUCAAUUUUCCGGUGGAUGCACGUCAAUGAGACCCUCGAACUUUUCUAUAUUAAAAAAAUGUGAUACAAGUAUUUUUGUCAAUCACGAAAUUUUAUUUUAUUGAUAUAUAAACAAAAAUGUUAUUGCACUUUGAUAAAGGUUAAAUACAAAAUCUCAUUUUACUUGAAAUAAUGAAUUAUAUAUAAUUCUAAAAUUUACUCUUUUAAAAAGAAAGUAGGAAAACCAUUUCUGGUAAUAUAUCUUUUUUUCAAAUUAACAGUGUUACAGAAAUCGGGAAUUGGACCUAAUCAGUUGAGCUACCGAUUCAAAGAUUAUUCAGAAAUCGGGGAUUAAUUGGAGUGAAAAUCGGGUUUAUUUUAAUAUUAAAAUAUUAUUUAAUAUUUAGUUAUUAUUAUAUUAGCUAUUUAGUAACUAAUAUAUUUACUAUAUUCAUAAACUCAAUAAUUAUUCAUAUUUAAAGUAAUAUAGUAUUUUAAUUUCAAUAAUUUAUCACACAUACUUCGAUUAAGAAAUAUAUAUAAGGAUUAAUCGGAUUUCAAAAAUCGGAUCAGUGGCUGACCUUGCAGGGGAUUAAUCGGUUAAAUCGGAGAUUUUUAGAACACUGCAAAUUAACAUCAAAUCUUCUGUCAAAAUAAUAAAAUAAAAAAAUUAACAUAAAAUCUUAUUAAUUUAUAAGAAAACGAAAUCAAAAAGCGUUUCCAACUAUUGACGAAGCUGAUAACAAACAAUGAAUGUGAAACAUCUGAUGGGCUACCUUAUUCAUUUUCUUUUCACAAAACUAAUCGAUAAACACUUGGUUUGCUCUCAGAAGAUUGCCUAUUUUAAGUUUGAAUGCCUAUUUGCUUUGUUAGAGCAUGCACAUACUUAACAGGGAGUCCCAUCUAUAAUUACUAAUUGAUGCAUCUCUACCAUGGUCUAGAGGAGACUAGAUGCUUGAUAAAAGUUCUGCUAGAGAUUUUGCAUGGUGGGUUUUAACGAUUUAUGGGAAAGGAUGAUAGACAUUAGUCAACUGGGAGUUUCCAAGAAUUGAGCCUGAUGAUGAUAUGAUGCUUGUGGUGCUCUCAUCAUGUGAAUUAUAAAGCAGCAUUUUAAUAUUGUAAGAGAGUUUCAUGAUAGUUGGUCAUGUUUAAGGUGAUUGUAGCAUAGACAUUUAACUUUUCUAUAUUGUGUGCAAGCCUUGAAGUUUAUCUGCGUGAUCGUGACUCGGAGCUUUUUAGGUUUUGAACCUGAACUAUAAAGUUUUGCACAACAGGAACAUUGUGUGAAGGUUUGCUAGGAAGAGCUCUUUGCAAUACAAUUGAUGACGUAUGCCGGUUCUUGCAGAUGUUGGAUGGUUUUGUGGAGCCAAAUGAAUUCCCUUUCUAGUGGUCUUGUUGGCUUUUCGCGGAAUGUUCGUGGAAGAGGUUCACAAAUUAUGACUCGAUUAAGCAUGGAACUUAGUAGUUUUUCAAAGUCUGAGUAUUGUUGCUGCAUUGUUGGACCUCUUGGGCAGGACUUGUUUGAUGAAAAGAGAUUAUGUGAUUCUGGGGGGCCUUCACUCACACAUUUGCAUGCCUAGUUCAUUAAUAUUGAAAUGGGAGAAAAGCUGGUUUAGAACUGCCCAGAUGGAGAUGGAGGAUUAGGAAAAACUAGCGGAUAAGGUUCCAGGUUGCAGUUCAGUGAGAUUUAUGGACACACUUAUGAGUUCGUUGUUAGUGAUAAGUCACAGUCUCAGGGCAUCUAGAGCUUGUUGGAUUUGUAAAUUAUGAGGCCUGUAAGUCAGUCCUAUACUUUAAGCUAUUACAUACUGAACUAUUUUAUUUGAUUUAUUUGAUAAACAGCAUGUUAUAUUUAUUUCUCUGUUGUCAACGAUUCAGAGUCACAGUAGAUCAGCAACUUGAUAUGUAAGAUAAAAGCAUACCUUCAACAUGUGUGGUGGAAGACAAAGUAUGCAUAUUUAUAAACCAUAUGUGGCAUAUCUUGAUUUUGCAGAUAAAAAGGGCAUACAAUUGAAUGCCAGUAAGCUCUUUGAAUUGAAUAUAAUGUAUCCUUUAUGUUAUGUCAGUCUCUGCUGACUUUGUUAAUAUCUAUAAGAAAAGCAACAAAGCACAUACCUAGGGAAGAAAACAAUUAAAUGAUUUUGCAGCUGUAGGUGAGGCAUUGGGAAUCAUUUAAUCCACUUUCUACAUGAUUGUAAUAUUAGCAAUUUGAAACACCAAACUAAUAUGGCUACAUAGAAAAACUUGUUAUCAUAUGUAUCCCAAAAGGAAGUAUAUAUUACUAGUUAUCUCAGUCAACUAAAAUAUAUAAGACAGACACAGAGAAUAGUAGCAGUAAGAUCUGUUAUGCCCUGAAGAUGUUUUUAAAUAGAUAGUUAUAUCUGUUUUGGUUGAAAUUGCUUUUCAGAAUAAUUAGACCAAGUAAAAUAGGUUUUAAAAGAAGUAGGCCCAGUAAAAUAGGUUUUAAUAACAAUGUUUCGGCUUUAAUACUAUAGUAUAGAAUAAUCAUCUACAAUAGAAAAGCUUGAAUGAAAUUUCAUAGAAGUUCCAAGGCUGUAUAAUGUGAUUUUUAUAUUUGAAGCUACUAGGAAAAUUUUAAGUAUUACAAUAAAUCUGCGAUGUGGUAUAUAUAAUAUUACUGUCAUUAGUAUUUGAUAAAACAAAAGCAAAAAUAUCUUAUCCAAUUCAAACAUGGGAGAUAUAAUUAUCGGUAAUGAUUGACUUUUUGUUUUUCUAACUUAUUAAUUAUAACAGUUAAAAGGUUUUUUUGCUUUCCUUGUAUCUGGAGCUUUUGCUUUCCAUUACAAAGGAACCUAUGAUUUUUCAUUAUAUCUGGAGCUUUGGAUCAUUGAGGGUUGUUCAUGUUGUUCGGUCUUCGUUUUUACACGAUCCAUAAUGUUAUUCAUGUUAUUCAGCCUUUGUCUUCCCAUUCAGAUGAUCGAGAAGGUUCAUCAUAGUGAGGUCGCUAAAGGCAUCAAUGGCCUCGAUAGAUUCAUCCUCCGUCAAGCUCGCGGCAGUUCUACUGAGGUCUGCAUUUCUUUUUAAUUUUUUAAUUAAUUUUUUUGGUUGAUUGUUUUGAUGGGUUGGUUAUGCCUCUGCUUUGAUUUGUGUUGUUUGGGUUCAAAUGCGGGCCAGAAUUUUUCUAUAUAAAUCUAAACUCUGCAACUCUCGUAGAACUUGUCUGUUUAUGUUAGCAUUGUGCAGCUUGGUUUGACCUGGUCAGGUGUUCAUUAAUCAAUUGCGCCAAAGGGCUGCAGAGAUAAUUUAUAGUUGUGUUCAUCACAGAUUGCAAGUGUUUAUUAAUACGUCCAUUUCUUGCCUAUGUCACUUCUUGGAAGAAUGCCUAUGGAGAGGAGUAGCUUCUUCUCAGUAGUAAGGUACCAUGUGCUUCAUUGCGAUUGAUGAUACAAAAUUGUAAUAUAUAAAUACUUCUUUCAGUAGGCUGUGCAUACUUGGAAUACGACUGAAUUGUUAUCAGUUCAAUCAGCAAAAAUAAAAUUGUUUUCAUGUCCCUUCAAGUAGCCUGAAAAUUUCCAUGUUGGCCAGUUGGUCCUUUCCAUUCCAAAGUGCCAGCAAUUGUUAUAUGUUAUCAAGGCCCCUUUCCCUGGAUAUACACCCAACACGUGACCUAAAUUUAUUUCUUAAUUAUUUUAUAUGAAUGAUUAGAGUCUGAAAAUUAUUCUGAUAUAUAGUUGUUUUCAUUUCUAGACUACACCCUAUAGGAUUGGCAGUUCCUAUCUACUUCCCCAUCUAUAAAUUAGUUGUAAUUUUUUAAAUAAGUGUAAUCUGCUGACAUGUAUGUCAUGUUAUUUGCCUCAUGAAAUGAACAGAUAAAAGAAGUUCAACUUGAACUUAUAGGGCAUUAUGAAAGUGAAACUGCUGUAUCAAGGCUUGCUGCUGCACAUUCUAUUCCAUACUAGACAAUUACUCAAUUCAGAUCCCGAUAUAUAUAUUUGUCGCGUGUUGAAAUCCUCUUCGAGUUUUGUAUCCCAAAUGAAGUUACAGCCUGAUGGAGAUAUGUUGCGGCCUUAAUUGAAGCAAUGAACACGGUUGUAGAAGUUGCCACUUCCCUCAAAACAUAAAGUAAGAUAUCAUGCAUAAUUUUUCCACUUAAACCAAUAUAUGGAGCAACUGAUAUAACUCUUUUGAGUUGUGAUCAGAAGCCAGAUCUUCGCUCAUCAGGAUAUGACCCUAGACCAUCUUUCAGCCAAGAUCAGCUGGGGCAAGCUCCAUGUCAUAAGGGUGUAACAACUAUUUUACCAGUUGCAAGGAAGCUCCACAUAAUUAGGGUGUUACAUCAAGAAACUCAGGGGACAGCAUCAAAAGUUAGCAGGCACAGUUGGAUGAGCAAAGAUAAUUGUACCUAAGUAACCAUAAUACAGGUUGCGACGCUCUGGGGGACGAGUGGACUAAAUUCCCAAUUACGCCAACCUGGGCAAAUAAUUCAGAGGACAUUUCAAGUUGCAGAUGAGGUGAAGCUAUCAAUAUUUUUCUUCAUUCACAUAAUUUCUAUUUUUUCUGCUUCCCAAUAUUUAUAUUCUUAAUAUUUAUAUUAUUUAUUUAUACACAUUAAUUUUAGCUAUUCGUAGAGUUACUAGGCUGGGAAUUUCAGAGAUCUGUGCAAUUACACCUGUUCCGGUAACUGAAGACCUAUCAACUGCUCAACAAAGGUCCUGUAUAUCAUCUCGCUCCGGUAACUUGGCUGUGAUUUUGUGUUCAGAAAGAAGAAUGCCUGUUUUGCGUUUCCUCUUUGGCCAUAUUGUAUUGAUUCUUAUUUUUUAAUGUAUGUGUGUGUAUGAGUGUUUUUUUUUUGAAACAUAGUUGUGGCUAAAACUAUUCGGAGCCUUCAUAUUUUGAUGCAGGAAUGGCAUAUUCUUAUUUUUCAAACAUGGUUGAUCACAAGACUAGAACAUCAGGGUGCGUGUUUGUAGGAGGUGGGAGUCAUAAGCACGAAAAGAUGGCAACUUAAUAAGUCUAGGUAUAAUAAUUGACAAGAAAUUUAGUACUUUCCUCUCCUUUUUUAGGUUUUUCCUGCUAACUCUGUUCCUUUUGCUUUGUCUCAAUCUGUAGUUUAAACAUUUUCAAUGAUAGCAUUAAUAUUAAUAUACUAUUCGUUCAAGGCAGAUCGUGGUAACCAUGAAAACAUAUAUUUAGAAAUGCGAUUUGCAUAUUUUUGUUGUUGCAUGUGAGGGUUGGUCUCCGUUUGAUCCGAAUACAAGCUUCUCGCAAUGUUUCCUUGAUGAAUUUGAUGGUGAAGGAACAUUAUUACUUUUAGCUUCUGGUUGGUGAUGUUUGAGCAAGGAAGAAGAAGCUGCUACAAUUGAUUUGGUCGAAGGUUUCCCAUCCAAGCGUCUUGAUGAACCAGUGAAAGCAUUGAACUUGGGAACUUUGUUUGCCGUCUCUUCCUCAGCUGAAGAGUAUAUCAGUAAACCAGAUUUCACCAACUCAUAGUGUAGUAUAAAUUAAAAGAAGCUCAGUACUUGGACAAAAUGCGUAGAGUAGAAAGAAAGAUAGAGAACAUAGGUCUUUUGGUGGUCUCUUUUGGAAAUACUAGCUCACUGGCUGUGUUUAAUAUAACAUGGUUGAUUAUGUCUCAAAUAAAUUAAUUGUAAUAUUUGGUUGUUGCAGGGCUCAUAUAAAACAUAUUUUAGUAGCUGUCUCAACGAUUAACUAGAGAAACUAUUUGCAGCCGAUUUUUAAAAUAUUCUAUAUUCUAUAUUUUUCUCACUCGCGCGAAGCGCGAUGUUUCCACUAGUUUUAUUAUAACUGAGCACAGAAAAUGAAAUAAAUAUAAAUACUACACCUUGAAAUAAAAUUAGAUUCCCCAAACAGUCCCUUAAUUGGUCGAUAAAAACUAGGAAAGCUUACACUUCUCCGUAUGAAUACCACCCCGUUUUCCCUAAAUUAUCGAAGCUCCAUUUUCGGCAUUCACACAGAUCUCUCAUUCUUUCUUUUGUGAAGAUUGUUUUUAGUUCAAUUAAUCUUUUCUAGGUAUAAAUAGUAACAAAUUUAGCAUAUAUGUAUGUGUCUGCGCGGCAUCCUUUUAGGGUUUAUCCAUCAUUUUUAAUUAUUCAUGAUAACAUUGUUUCGUUCGCUUGUUUAACUGUUUGAUUGAGCACAUUUCUUUUCAUUGUUUACCAUUUAAGCUUUAACUUAUCUGCAGCAGUUUUAAUAGAUUUAAGUGACACUCAUUUAUCUUUGAUGUUCUUCAAGAUAUGUUUUUGGGGCUACUCUUACUUAAAAUUGAUUGUUUGGGUGUGAUUGGUUUCUGUUAGGUUCUUUCUGGUACUGAAAUGGGGGAAUCUAAGUCUAAGAUUGGGGAUUCAACACUCUCCCGCCAUAAGGCUACAACAAUCCAGUUUGACCUGACGAAACCACUAUCGCUUUCUGGGCCAAGCAAUGCUGAUAUCCGAAGAAAUGCCAUGUUGCACAAGGUAUAUAUAUUUAGGUUUUGAAGUUCAUAGUUAACUAUCUGGUUGCUAACAGUGGUGUUGUAAAUUAUGGAAGUUCUUGAUUACUUCGGGGGUGUACGAGAGCCUAGAAGAAACGGAAAGGAGAGAAGAGGUUCUUGCACAAAUCAGACAGGUAAGUUUAGUACUUACUCUUACAUCUGAGAGGAUAUUAUGUUUCCAUUACGUUUCCUGAUGCUUUAUUUUAUGCCAAGUUGUCUUUGGAUUUACUUAUUAUAAGAAGAAUCACAUCUUCCAUACCUUUACUCCGCAAGAUUAAAAUUGCAGUAGAAAAUAGAUAAGCAUCUGUUUCCACCUCACUUAAUGAGGUUGUAAGUGAUGUAUUCAAAGUGGUUAUAGUGCUAUCUAAAUGUUCUUGUUCUUCUUCAUUUUGUAUUGCAGCCACAAAUGGCACUUUUUAACUCUGUCAAUGCAAUGCUUUUUGACCAACCUUAAUUCCUGUGCUAUAUAUGGGCACUACUUCAAAUUUCUCAGCAUUGAGUGCAAGUAACUAAGUAUUAACUUUCUUUUAUGUGUUGAAGGUUCUCUUAGUCAGAUUUCUAUUUUUAUAAAAGAGAACUCAGUAAAACAGGUGCUCAAAAAUGCUUUUUCAGUACUCGGGGCAUCAGGCUUAUCAGUGCUCUUUGAAUGAAAAAAAUUAAUCUGUUGGUGUUUUAUUAAAGUAAAUAGGGUCUCAUUAAGUGAGACUAUUAAGUUACAUUAACACACACCCACUGUAUUUUUUUCUUGAAAUUCAUUGUGUGUGUGCGUGUGUUUUUUGCAUAACUAUAGCAUAUAUAUGUUUUGACAUGAUAUAUAUGCCUAAUUAAUAAAUGGGAGCUGGUCCCUGGCAUAUGUAUGCCAGGGAGAGUUUACGCGGCACACAGCUUUACGGCCGUUGGAUGCAUAUCCAGCGGCCAGGAUUAUAACCUAGCGUCCAGCGCUUUUUUAGCGCUGGACAGGUUCCGUCCAGCGCUUUUUUACCGCUGGACGGGGUCUUUUCCCCCGUCCAGCGAUAAAAAAGCGCUGGACAUAUUAAAAUUUUGUUUUAAUCCUGGCCGCUGGAUAGGCACCCAACGGCCAGCAAACUGAUUGUUGGUUAACAGCUCCCUGGCAUACGUAUGCCAGGGAGCUGUUAACCAACAAUCAGUUUGCUGGCCGUUGGAUGCAUAUCCAGCGGCCAGGAUUAAAACAAAAUUUUAAUAUGUCCAGCUCUUUUUAAUCGCUGGACGGGGGAAAAGCCCCCGUCCAGCGGUAAAAAAUCGCUGGACGGAACCUGUCCAGCGCUAAAAAAGCGCGGGACGCUAGGUUAUAAUCCUGGCCGCUGGAUAGGCACCCAACGGCCAGCAAACUGAUUGUUGGUUAACAGCUCCCUGGCAUACGUAUGCCAGGGAGCUGUUAACCAACAAUCAGUUUGCUGGCCGUUGGAUGCAUAUCCAGCGGCCAGGAUUAAAACAAAAUUUUAAUAUGUCCAGCUCUUUUUAAUCGCUGGACGGGGGAAAAGCCCCCGUCCAGCGGUAAAAAAUCGCUGGACGGAACCUGUCCAGCGCUAAAAAAGCGCGGGACGCUAGGUUAUAAUCCUGGCCGCUGGAUAGGCACCCAACGGCCAGCAAACUGAUUGUUGGUUAACAGCUCCCUGGCAUACGUAUGCCAGGGAGCUGUUAACCAACAAUCAGUUUGCUGGCCGUUGGAUGCAUAUCCAGCGGCCAGGAUUAAAACAAAAUUUUAAUAUGUCCAGCUCUUUUUAAUCGCUGGACGGGGGAAAAGCCCCCGUCCAGCGGUAAAAAAUCGCUGGACGGAACCUGUCCAGCGCUAAAAAAGCGCGGGACGCUAGGUUAUAAUCCUGGCCGCUGGAUAGGCACCCAACGGCCAGCAAACUGAUUGUUGGUUAACAGCUCCCUGGCAUACGUAUGCCAGGGAGCUGUUAACCAACAAUCAGUUUGCUGGCCGUUGGAUGCAUAUCCAGCGGCCAGGAUUAAAACAAAAUUUUAAUAUGUCCAGCUCUUUUUAAUCGCUGGACGGGGGAAAAGCCCCCGUCCAGCGGUAAAAAAUCGCUGGACGGAACCUGUCCAGCGCUAAAAAAGCGCGGGACGCUAGGUUAUAAUCCUGGCCGCUGGAUAGGCACCCAACGGCCAGCAAACUGAUUGUUGGUUAACAGCUCCCUGGCAUACGUAUGCCAGGGAGCUGUUAACCAACAAUCAGUUUGCUGGCCGUUGGAUGCAUAUCCAGCGGCCAGGAUUAAAACAAAAUUUUAAUAUGUCCAGCUCUUUUUAAUCGCUGGACGGGGGAAAAGCCCCCGUCCAGCGGUAAAAAAUCGCUGGACGGAACCUGUCCAGCGCUAAAAAAGCGCGGGACGCUAGGUUAUAAUCCUGGCCGCUGGAUAGGCACCCAACGGCCAGCAAACUGAUUGUUGGUUAACAGCUCCCUGGCAUACGUAUGCCAGGGAGCUGUUAACCAACAAUCAGUUUGCUGGCCGUUGGAUGCAUAUCCAGCGGCCAGGAUUAAAACAAAAUUUUAAUAUGUCCAGCUCUUUUUAAUCGCUGGACGGGGGAAAAGCCCCCGUCCAGCGGUAAAAAAUCGCUGGACGGAACCUGUCCAGCGCUAAAAAAGCGCGGGACGCUAGGUUAUAAUCCUGGCCGCUGGAUAGGCACCCAACGGCCAGCAAACUGAUUGUUGGUUAACAGCUCCCUGGCAUACGUAUGCCAGGGAGCUGUUAACCAACAAUCAGUUUGCUGGCCGUUGGAUGCAUAUCCAGCGGCCAGGAUUAAAACAAAAUUUUAAUAUGUCCAGCUCUUUUUAAUCGCUGGACGGGGGAAAAGCCCCCGUCCAGCGGUAAAAAAUCGCUGGACGGAACCUGUCCAGCGCUAAAAAAGCGCGGGACGCUAGGUUAUAAUCCUGGCCGCUGGAUAUGCAUCCAACGGCCAGCAAACUGAUUGUUGGUUAACAGCUCCCUGGCAUACGUAUGCCAGGGACCUGGACCCUUAAUAAAUAAUCAGUGUGUAAUUUUACAUUAAAGUACACAUGUUUUGUCCUUUUGUUAUAAAAUGAAAAAUUUAAAGACCUCUAUUCAACCUUCUGACCCUGCCACUAAACAAACUUAAUACCCUUAUUGUUAUUGNACCCUGCCACUAAACAAACUUAAUACCCUUAUUGUUAUUGUUGAGCAAAGUACCUUAGCUCAUGUCUGCCACUGAGUUUCACAAAGAAAUACAAAUUCAGUCCCUUGUGGUAUGUUAUAUCUUAAAAAAAAUGAACAGUAUGUGGUUCCCAAGGCCACAACAACAAUUUGAACCAAUAAUAUUCAUGAUUGGAGGUGGGUCAGGACUUUGGAACCCAUGUUAUACUCAUUUUCUGGAAACCUGAAAAAUUCCCGUCCAUAUCCGCGUUAAUAUCUGCAAUCAGCCAUCACAUCCUUUCCUUCCUUGUUUCUCCUUUAUCUGUAUUCACAUACUAAUAACAUUAUUGAAUUGAUGGCAUGGAUUUCACAAACUUUUCUCAAAUUUCAACCAUCCAAAUCAUUUAAGAAGAAUACUUGUCCCUUAACCAUAUCAGUUUCACUUUCCUAAUUGUCCUCAUUAACUAACAUUCCUAUCCAUCUCUCCCUACCCACCUUAAUUUACCCCUGUGAUGCUGACCAGUUGGUGGAUCCAUCUGGCUUUAUAAAAUUUGGUAGAAUCUCGUGUGAACAUUUCCUCAUCUACUCUCCAUAAGUUCGAUCUCCCACCUCGCUGAUCACGUAUGACACUAUCUAUGUUACUCGGACUCGGGUACGGAGUGUCGGACACGACACAUAUCCGAGUGCUGCACUUUGGAACUUUGAAAAUAGGGGACACGCGGACACUAUCCUAUUUUUGGACAUGGGCAUGGGAGACAUCAUAGUAUACUAAUAAAAAAGUAUGGUAAGUUAGACAGAUUUAACAAAAAGUAACAAUAAAACUCAAAUUAGACAUGAUUUUGUACGGGAUUUGCAAAUUAAGCAUCUUCUGUACUUUAUCCUAAUCUUACUCUUUUUUUUUCCUUACAUAUUUCUUUUGAAUUGUAAGUUUCACUCAUAUUUAAUUUUUAAAUUGGUCAAAGUGUCACAUUUUAGUCAAGGAAUCCGACACGAAAUAUGUGUCAUGUCCGAGUAUCCAAGUGUCCGUCACGGGUACAACCUAAAUAGAAGAGUCCGAGUAACAAAGGACACUAUCCAAGUGCCAAACUAUACCAUAGAUGAAGCAAGAAAUAGGCCAAUCUUUAUGUUUAAAAUUAACUGACAACUACUCCCUGUCGUUCUUAAGUUACAUUUUCCAUUUUGAUGAUAAGAUAAUUGAUUUUGACUGUUAAUGGCACCCAAAGAAACUCAUGUCAAACUCUAUGGAAAAUUAUUAGGGUCAGAGGUAACAAGCUCAUCCAUAUACUUAUCGACCUCCAUGACAACCUCUCGAACUUAAAUCAUAAAUUUGAAUCUACAUAUGCAAUUCAUGCAUGUUCAUAUUCACACAACACAUCUCCUUGGUUUUAAUUUCUCAAAUAGUACUUUAUUGAAUAUCUAGGACUGUUUUCAAUGACUCAAGUGAUAUUAGAUUCAUGUUACAUUAUAAAUAUUAGAAGAUGCUUAUUUUCUAAACAUACAUCCCUUUUCCUUAUUUCACAAGUUGACCACAAGAACCUUUUCCACCAGGCACCACUGAGUAAUGAGUAUCAAACCCAUCUUCAUGGACUACCUCUUUAUACUCCACUCCACUAAUCUCCUCCCCCCUAGUUGAUGUAUCUAUAAGUUCUUGAUUAAUUUACAAAUCAUCCAAACUAACACUAUAUAAAGAUAAACAAAAAGAAUGAGAGACUAAUCCUGAAACAGUCAAGCCUAGACUGGGCUUUAAUAGGACCAUUUCCAAAAAUGAGUCCUUUUGACUAUCAAGCCUAGACUGGGCUUCUAAUAGGACCAUUUCCGUAGCGGUCUUUUCACCAAAAUUUCCAGGCUAGGCCUUAUUGUGAGAAUAUGAAAAAAAUUGUAAACGAACAAAAGGUGACAGGGGAAGGGUCUUGGCAAUAAACAUAAACAAAAUAAAAUACGGUAGUGGUAGCUAUCUGAUCAUGAUCCAUAUUACCAGUUAGACAUAAUUGAUGAAAAUUAUUUUAUCCUCCAGGGUUAGAUUUUGAGUCAAAUGUUUUAUCACUUAUAUCUAAAUGUAUCUCACAGAAAAAGUAAAUUAUGCAGUAGGUGUUUAUACGCCAUUGCUCUUAGUGUGACUUGUGGCCAUAUUGUUUGUAGGUUUAUAUCUAUGUGAAGAAAGAUGUGAUAUGAACUCAUAUAUAUAAUUAUAAUCAUCCGGGUGGGCUUUAUAUAAGCCAGGAACACAACUGAAAUAGCCUAUCUUUCUAAAAAACUACUACCAUUCAAAAUUAAUGAAAUCUAAUCCUAAUCUAAUUUAACCAAAUAUUUGGUCAACAAAAACCAACCAAUUAUUAAAACAAAUCUAAAUUUAAAAAUUAAAGCAUAAUUUUAACACUCCUCCUUGCUUUAUUAUUUUAAUCGGUCAUUAAAACAAAAUUUCGUCAUUCUCAUGUUCUUGGAUGGUAGCCUCUUUUGCCUUCUCAUGCUCUUGGAAUAUUAUUUUCUUCUUACACUUCCAAAUAUAUUCAUGCACAUACUCCUCAUUAGUUCCUCCCUUCGCUUUUCAUGAAUGUGAUUUUGUGCUUUAGUUUCUGGUUAUGAUUUUUGUUUAUGGCUUCUCAGCCAUGGCAUGCUGUGAUAUUAUGGUUAUGGUUAUGUAUGACUUCUCAAUUAUGACAUGUAAUUUUAGAGUUAUGAUUGUGUAUGACUUCUCUGUGAUUUUAUGGUUAUAGUUAUUGGUUAUGGGUCUUGAAGGUGUUUCACGAGUUCCUUAAGAAGAGAGCUCUUGAUACCAUUUGUUGGUUUAUUUCUCUGUGAAAAGUAAUGUAAUGUGAAUUGAUAUAUAUCAUAAUCAUUUGGGUGAGAUUUAAAUAAGUAGGAACAUAACUGAUAUAGCCUACAUUCCUCAAAAACUGCUACUACUCAAAAUUAAUUCAAAUCUAAUCCUAAUCUAAUUUAACUAAAAAUUUGGUCAGCACCAACUAAUUAUUAAAAUAAAUCUAAAUUUAAAAAUCAAAUCUUGAUUCUAACAUUGUUGUAUUUUUUUUUAAAUGUAUUGUAGAUUGCAAAAGAUUGUGUGAAGCAAGUUACCUCUGAAAAAGGAUACUCGAGUAAAUGGGUUAAAAAUGCGAAUGUCGUGAUAUUUCCUUAUGGUUCCUAUCGCCUUGGGGUAAGAAAUUGAUUAUUACUAUCACAUGAAUAGGUGGAGAUUUGUUAUUUGUUCUGGUUAUGAUAUUUUAAUUUGUUUAAUAAUCUAAUUGUGUUAAUCUGCAAUUCAUGCUGAUUCUCACAAUACAUAUUGUAAGGGAUUUUGUCCCAAUCUGAUUAGUUUUCAUUUUAUAUGGAUCUGGAGUUUCUGGACAGAACGACAACACUUGGUUUAAAGAACACUGAUAACUAUAACACUUUGACACGAUAUGAAUUGGGAUGGUAAAGACAUAGUAGCCAUUCAAUUCAUGGGAUUUCAGUCCAGUUUAUGGUAAUAAGAAUGACAUUCUGAUGCAUUUUUAUUCGUAUUAACUUGGUUAAAAAAGCCAUGAUCCAAACAACCCCGUAAUGUCUCAUCUAAUUAUGUAAUGUCAGAACUAGGAAAGUGAAAAGAGGAUUUGUUGGACAGUUUGUGGCUCCUAUGAAUUUUAGUUGUCACUUGUUGUGUCUAAGGGAUUGGCUAACCAAUAAUUUAGAUGUAAAAUGCAGAACAAUAGUUCCCGGUUCCUAGAGUGAGGGAAUAAAAGAGUUAUCCGCAACCCUGCUAAAAGCAUGGGUGUGCUUAAUAGGAAAUCAAAAGCAAAAAAGUUUAUCAACGACUAUAUAAAACCAUGCAAAUAAAUUUUCUUUUUCAUAGUUCAAAAUGGAUGUAUAUGACCCUAGAUGUCAAGUAGGUAGAAAUCUGUUCAGAAGAUCCAUUUGUACGAUGAUGAACAAGUCCUGCGACAAAUACUUUUGCAAUCUUUUCGUAAACAUGAAACAAUUUCCAUUAUACCCAUUUCAAAGUAGUUACUGCAUAUCUAAUGCAAAUAUCUAUUAUAGAUUUAUAUAGAAGUUCUUAUAACUGUCAUCCUAUUAUCCAUAUACAAAUCAUUUAUACUUCUUUAGUUAUAUAAAUAUAAUUUGGUAACAAUCUUCUUUUGAUUUAAUAAAGAAGGUUUUCUUUUAUCUUACCCUUUGUCUUCUAAACUUGAACCAUCGUAAUGAUAAAUUGUAGUCUCAAAAAUAUCGAUUUAGUGUGUAUAAUACUUCUAUGCUUAUGAGCCAUUUAUUGGUCCGAAAACAUUAAAUUUGCACAUAAUUGUUGAAAAUAAUACUUAUGCAAUAUUUUCAAUACUUAUCCAAAAUGUGAUACUAUUUAUUUAUUAUUCUUUUUGACGGGGAACCAUUAGAAGUAAAAUCCAGGGGUGGACCACCCAACUAGACUAAUACCACAUAAAUUGAGUGCUUUUUUGUGUAAUCAUUAUUUUAUUUUGUUAGUCACUAGUAUUUAUUACAAAUAACAAAGGCAUACAUGUCACUUGGUCAUGUGGUCAUAGUUCAUUUACGGUUGGAAAUGAACAGAGUUGUUCAUGAAUAAAACUCAAGUUUGACUCGUUUAACUGAGUUAAGUGUUGUUCCUUUAUUGGAAAAACCCAAUCUUGUACAUGAAUUUUGUUUCUUAGUAAAGAAAUCCCAGUCGAGCAUUUUGCCUUGUUCGGCUCAAACUCGGCUCGUUUAGAUUGGGAUUUGCUCAAACUCGGCUCGACUUGUCUGGCUUGAUUUGACUUGGAUAAAUUUUUUAUUAUAUAAAUAAUGCAAUAUUAUCGAUAAUUUAAAUUUUCAAAAAUGAAAAUUUCAAGCCACUAUAAUUAAAAUUUGAAAUGCAUGACUUAAUUAAAUUACUACCUCCGUCCCAUUCUAUAUGAAUGGGUUUGACUUUCACGGAGAUUAAGAAAAAGUAGUAAAUGUAGUUGAAAAGUGGGUAAAAUGGUGGGACCUAUUAAUAUUUAAUAAUAGAUUUGGGAUAGUGGAGAAAAGUAGUGGGUGUAAUAGUGUUUAUUUAAUAAUAAGAGAGUAUAAAAUAUAGAGUUAGUGGGUGUAAUAGUAAAAAGUAGUGUUCAAAAAUAGUAAGUAUUCUAGGUUCAUUCUUUUUGGGACGUCCCAAAAAGGAAAUGAGGUCACAUAAAAUGGGACGGAGGGGGUAAUAAGUUAUAAAAUUGAUUAAAAGGAAAAACAUAAUGCACUUGAAGUAAUAUAACACUAAUUCAGUUCACUUGUCUUUCUCAAUAAUAUUAAGAUAAUAUAUUUAUGUUCUUAAAAUUUGACAUGAACGAUUGAAAUGAUAUAAAAUAAAAGAACAUGCUAGGGAAGUGUAAGUGUAUGAUUUUAAAAGCCUCUCCAGCAGGAUCCUAACUCAUUAGCUACAUAUAUGAAAAAAUAGAUCCUAGCGACUUAGGACAUGAAUAAUUAAUGUCAUCUCCAAUAAUGUCAGUAGUACUCAUUCCUUACUUAUUUAAAGUCUUUUCGACACUAAAAGUACAACUUGCAAGUUUUUUGUAAUAUUUUAUAAUAAAAUAUCAGUUUAGGGAACCUUAGGAGUUGAGAGUGAUUCCUUAAAAAUAAGGAAUGAAAUAAAGUUAUAUAAAGGAUUAACCAGGACAUUGUUGGAUCACUUUUUUUUUUCCACUUAUUCCUUAGCAUGAAUAACUAAUUUGUUGGAGUUGCCGUAAAAUAGUUAGAUACUAGGAUUUUAUUUGGACAUAAAGUGUAAGAUUAUAAAUAAUAUUUUACGAAUAAUGGUUAUUUGAGUAAAAAACAUAUACCAACUAUUUGUGGAAAACUCAACUCCAUUUGAACUUGGCCUAAGUCUAGCUCGACUCAAAUUGUUCGUGAGCAAACGAGACUCGUGUUUAGCUUGUUUUUCAUCGAGACGAUCAUGAAAAUUAAUUUUUGUUCGUUUAGAAAACUCAGAUUAGAUUGUCUCGUAAUAUGCCUUUAUUCGCACACAUUCUGUUAAUUCAUAAUUCUUGGGGUCAAAUCUAACCAAAUCGAAUUCACAGACCAAACCAAUGGCAAAUAAAUAAGUACAAAUAAACUACAGUUUGAAAGGGCCUAAUUAUAUGGUUUAGAGAUGUUAGAGAGGUCCUUAGCACACUUUCUUCUUAAGUACUCCCUCCGUCCCACUCAUUAGUCAUUUCUAUACAAUUUUUUGUAUUGCUUGGCACACAUUUCAAUGCUUCUAUAAAGCAUAUUUCUAUAACUUAUUUUUUAAAAUUUUUGUUUCUGACAAAAAAUUUAAACAUUGAAUUUUCAUCUAUAAGAAAAAGAAUAUAAAAGAAUUUAUAGAACUGUAUCUUAUAAGAGUCUUGAAAUGCGUGCCAAACAAUUAUAAGUCCGAGUGGAACAAAGCGAGUAGUUUUUACUUUGAAGAUUCAAAUUUUACCCUUUUUUCUGCAUGUUAUCUUUUGUAGGGUCAUGAAAAAUUUAUAGGAGAUCAUUGAUCAUUGUUAUUCUCUUCAUCAUUAUUGGAGGAUGUAAUGCCCCGAUUUUGAAUUGAAAAGAGCAUUCUUCCCUAGGGAAGAGCAUCUGUAUUGGAUAAUAAUAUUUCAAUAUAAUAAUCAACCCGCUUGAUAGAAACACCAUGCACAUUAGCAAUAACAACAUCAGAAACAACAUUAUUGAGACUGUAGGGGAGGGGGCAUAUUGCUAAAGCAUAAAGGCAGCCAAUCAGUAGAUGUUCAAAAGUUUGGCAACAAGGUGGGUAAGAAUCAUCACUAUAAACAUGUACCAUUAAGUGAUCUGGUCUAGGUUAGUUGGCUUGAAGUUCAAUACAAAAUCUAGUAGAUGUAGAUUCAUUUAGGAUGAUUGGUUUGGUUAAACUAUCUAAAACCAACCCCUUUUAUCAGUAAGAAUGUGGUAAGUUAGCAAGUUGAGCACAAACACACAAGGAUAAACUUCAUGAAUUCAAUUCCCAAGUCCUCAUAUUAUAAUGUAAGAACAUAAAAUUCCUAAAAAUAAUAGAACAAGUCAACAUGUACUCUUUUAAUCCAAUUUCUUCAAGAAAAUAACUUAACAUACCAGAAAUUUGGCUUUCCUAACUAGUGCAACUAUCAUUCAAUUUUUUCUAGCUUUCUUAAAAAAAUUUGGAUUUGGACAUGGCUUAACAAAAGAGGUGCCAAUGUCAUAUAUAACUCCAACUCUUUUGUUUAGGUAGCCAUACCCAUGUCUAACACUUGGACACAACAUUUUCUUGUCGGAUUCUUGACUGAUAUGCGGAUACUUUUACCAACCGAAAGACCACAUAUAAGUUGAAUAUACAAUGCAAACCAAAGAAAAGCAAAAAUAAAAAUACAAGAAGUGAAGAUCCUUAAUUUGCAAAAUUCCUUACAAAAUUGUGUCCUAGUACUCUUGUCCAAAAAUAGGAUAGUAUCAUGUCUCCCAAAUUUUUAGAUUUUUCGAGUCCAACACUUGAAUAUGUCUUGUGUCCGAUACUUCGUACCCUGAGUCAAAGUAACAUAGCCGACGUGCCAUUGAUACAUCAUUUAGAGGAAUAUGAUUAUGCGAAAUUUUGUUACCAAGUGUAAUCCUCUACCACACUUGCUUCCUUUCUUUCGAAGCUAAGUUCAAUAAAACUCACAAAACUCACAGAAAGUCAAAGUUGCUAGCCAGAGAAGUUUAAAAAGUAGUAGAACCUUGUGGUAAUUGAUCAGGAGUCAAGGUCCCGAAAGGAGAUAAGUCAUUGGUAAUUUUAGUUCACUUAGAAGUUUGAAGCAACAAUGGGUUCUUUUAAAUUAGGAUUUUUGGGGGCAGCAAUUUGUAAAGAUUUGGUAGCUUUUUACUCGAACUCUGCUAGGACUGUCGUGUAUGGAUACCGUGAGUGUCGGACUCAGCAACACAUUAGAAAUGUGCAUGUCUAACAUAGGUGUUCAAAUGCAAGUGUCCAUGUCCAAGUGUUAAGUGUCUGACAUGAGUAAUUGAGGUAAAAUGAAGAGUCCGAGUAACCUAGUUUGGUAGUAAAAGUGUCAACUAGGUUAAUAGUUUUAGGAUCAAUAUUGAGGGAUUGGAUAUUAGUGUUUAAGUUGAUAUGGGUAAAUUAGUGGUGGUUUUAAGUUCCUAUUUGUUUUGGAUUUUUUUCUCUAGAAGGGGACUAGGUCAAUGGUUGUUGGAAGCUAAAAUAUGGAAUUUUGUACGAGAGCAAGAUCUGUAAUAGUUAAUCGAAAGCAUAGCUUUCAUAUAAUCAUCCACUGUUGAGAAGAUGAAGGGUUAGAAGAGAGUCUAGCGGAGAGAGUUUAUAGAAGUAGUUUCCAUCAUUAGCGCUCAAGAGUCAAAUUAUAUAUAGUGUCUCGAAAUUAUGCACCUAUUGUUUUCUUAAAUUCUCAAGGCAUGUUUAUAAUUAUAUAUGUUCAUUUCUUAAAUAGUUGAUCGACUUGUUUUACAAUACAUUUAUGGGGUCGCGUUCAAGAGAGAAUCAGUCCUUAAGAUAGAACCAUAGAACCACUAAGGUUCUGCUUUCUAAAUAGAUUUUUAGGAUCUAAAUCUAAAUACAUGUUUUUGUCAUGUUUUUUCCAUCGUUGUGUGUGUUCAAAAAUAAUUUUAAAAAUAUAAUACAUAGAUAUUGACAUUUUUUUGCAUGUGAAGUUCUGCUGCAGAUGCCUAAUUAAUACUUAAGUUCUGCUGCAGAACCCUACCUAAUACUAGAAAUAAGGUAAGGGUUCUAUGGUUCUGUCUCUAAUGGUUCUCUCUUGAACAUGACCCUACAUUUAUGAUGUAUGAUCAUAAUAUAGGUCAAUUAACUGGAGGUGAAUCUGUUUAGCUGACAUUAUUUCCCAAUCCAGAAACUAAGCAACUGAUGCUUGAAAUUGAUGUAGUAUAUCAAUGUUCAACUUUUAUCUUCUUCUUCUUCUGUGAUGCCAAUAUUUUGGUAACAUACUUGCUGAAACAAUAUGUUUAUAUGAAAUUAGGUACAUGGUCCUGGAGCUGACAUAGACACCUUGUGUGUCGGGCCUUAUAAUGUGAGACUACAGGUGAAAUAUAAAUUUCCUUAAGUAGUGUAUAAAUAUGACAAGUACUUUAACAUCGUGUUAAAUUAAUUUGGUUGUUUGUGUUCUUUUCUCUACAGGAAUUUUUUUCCUACUUGCAUAAAAUAUUGGCAAAAAUGGAUGAAGUUACAAAUCUGCAAACUAUUUUGGAUUCUUAUGUCCCAGUAUUGAAAUUCAAGUUCCAAGGAAUUUUGAUUGAUCUCGUUUAUGCUCCUAUAUAUUUUCGGAUUGUUCCAAAUGUAAGUGUCAGGACAACCUUUUAAUCUAAACUUAUUUUCUUAGUUUAUUGGUAUAUCUAGUGACAAAAAAAAUAUAAUCCAUCAUUUAAACCGUUCAGUCUUAUUCUAAUGAAGACUAUGUGAUUUGCCCUUCAUUUGGUGUCUCAAGAGUAGCACUGAACAAUGAUCCUUGUAAUAAGUCAAGUCUAUCUUUAGUACUCAUGGACCAAGCCUUCUUAAUUACACUUUAGUGCUAGAAAGGUGCUUGCAUCUUUGUAAGCAAGUACCCCCAAUUAAUGUCAUAUAUAUACAGUUGAUUUAGCUAACAUGUUUGUAAUAAAUGAUGAUAUAGAUAAUCAAAUUAUUAUGACACAAAUGAUUAGCACACUCACUUCGUCUUCUAAAGGAUGUUGUGAGUGAAAAUGUGCAAUUAUUGCAAAAAUUAUUAUAAUCAAACAAUAGAAAUAGAUAAGAGUUGAAAUAUAAUCUUAAUUUACUAUGUUGCACCAUAUUUGUGUAUGCCAUUAUAUGCCUUUUCUCACGGUCAGUGAAAUCUUAUUAGGAAUAUUCUUUUGAAUUAGGGUCUAAACAAGUUGAAUACCUUCCAACACCAUGGUGUCAUAAUUUUAAAGAUUACAUUUUGAGACAAGUUUGAAAAAUGAGAUAAAUUCGAUAAUCAAAUAAAAGUUGAAUGCUUAUGUAAUCAAUUUUAUAAUUGCAACAUAAGAGUCUCUAUCGAACAAGUAGACAAGUAGUAUAUUUUUUUGUUAUAGAUAUGUGAUUAAAUUAUCACUAAAUUACCACUUAAGGCGAAACUUACACCGCGCACAUGAAUGAAGUUCUCAAGAUUUUUUCUUCUAACUUCAUGUUUUGUACUUGAACCAGUAUCAAUACGCUUCUAUUACUACGGUCCUCUUAAAUCUCAACUAGCCAUAUAUAUUACUUACCAUAUUUCCAUGUAGAAUGUAGAAUCAUAAACUGUUAGGGAUAAAAAUACGAGAAUCUAACUUCAAAUGCAAAGCACGCAUAAAAAAAAUAUAUGACGCGGAAAAUCCAUGCCCCAACUUGUAUUAUUAAUCAAAACCUGAUAAUACAAUCAAUCAAACUUGGAUACUCAAGCCUAACAACAUUCAAGCAUCCGCUCGCAAGCGAUACCUAAGUCUACAUCUUGAGCACACGUAACAAACACAAUAUGACUAUGUAUAUAGCCAUCUCAAACUUAGCUAAAUCAUAAUCUAAUUCUGAAAUACCUAACUCCAAUUAGAAUUCAUUCUGAAAUCUAAUUCAAAUCAGAAUCCAAUUCAUACUGGGUUAAUACCCAACAAUCUUUCCCAUUUUUUGUCACCAAAAUAUACAUUUUAUAAUAAUCGUCUAAACAUACAAUUAUCAUCCAUAUAUGUUUUGUAGCACCCUAACUCAUGCUACCAUUGUAAUGGGUCAAUACCUAACAAUCCUCCCCUUAUCAAUAGUCAAUUCCAACACACAAACGUCCAUCCGCCAGUGCCUUCCCUCAAACAAGAAUCUCCCCAUCUCGUUCUUCCGAACUCUGAGUAUCGCUAAAUUCUGCUUAGUGACCUCCAUACCACCAUUCUUUAUCCUAAUAACAUAUCCAUCUACAAAAUCACGUGCAUCAACCACGAGUGCCUAAUAAGUCCUACUCUUACUUAGUUGACAUGCAGUUAUCUAGCUCUGAGCCUUCUUCGCCUUGUCUAGGUCUGGGCUAAGAACUUUCUGCUAGCUGUUUACCAGAGUUAAAGCCAACUCUUCAGUAUAUCUAUAUAAAUGUCACUAUGACCUGACAGUAUUGCGUAUUUGCUUCAAUAGUGACAUCUAGUGAAUUCCUUAACUCUUAGGUUAUGUUUCAUUGCGAGGACUAUAAUCCUUUCACUAUACAUCAUCACACUCAUUUAACCUCAUUUAAAUCCCUUGAACUAAUCACUUUAAAUUAAAAAAAAAAAAAAAAAUCCCUUGGCACUAAUCUAAUCAAGUUUUGUCACUCAUGAUUUCAUUUUAGGGGAAUACGUAAUACUCUCUCACCCAGGUAAGAAAUUCCACGUUAAUGAACUAAAAAAAUAAUUGCAAUGUAGUCCAUGGUGCAGAAAACAGUGAAAUUUACUGUAUAUAAUUUACUAGUCCAGGAUUUUAAUCUCUUUAAAUAAAAUCACGAUGGAACAUAAAUUUCAAAGUUUUAGAGCUUUUCACUAGGAUAAGUGAUUCACUUAGGUCAUGUUACUUCACUAACUCAAAGAGUAUUUGUGUAGCUAAUGGUUCCAUGUUCUUAUUAUCACCAACGAUCCUCUCUCUGCAGACCAUCUGUUUCCUCAUCUCUGCAGAUCAUCUAAUUACUACAUUAAUGUCAUAUUUUUAAUAAUGAGCAUACAAUCAUUCAAUCGAUAUUUCCAAGCAUCUUGACGCAGUCUAGUUCCUACAUAUCCCUGUUAGAUAACUUCUAUUAAUAUUUUGUAGGACAUGAUAACUAAUUUUUUAUGAUAGAUAUAUAGCAAAAAUUAUAUGACCAAUACUAUCGAGUAAUUUAAGUAUGUGUUCCUGCUGAUUUCGUGUAAUUGAUCUUAUGGCAUGUUUGGGGACAUGGAUUUCAUUUGAAAUUCUGGAUUUCGUCAAAUGACAUUUUUGGAUAUACAAAUAAAUUUGGAUUUGGAUUACAAAAAAAAAUCCAAGACAUUCAAAUACUCAUAUAAACAUGAGAACUUGCAAUUAUAACACAAAUCAUAUUCUUUGAAAUCUAGCAUUUGAGAUGAAUUUAUAAGCUCUCAAACACAACCUUAUUGUAUUCGACCUUUUUAAGUUCUUGCUAGAAUUUUCUGUUCUUCCUCCUCCUAAUCAAUAUAUUUGUCCCUCUAUUCUGUUCCCCAGGCACAUCUUAAUUUUUUCUUGUUCGAUAGACAAGAUUUUUUUUUUUUUUUUUAAAUAAUAAUUUUACAUGGAUUAGUGGUGCUGAGUAAUGUCGUAAAGAUUUUGCCCUCUUAGAAAAUUACAACCUAUACUUUGACCGCAGUGGGUCGUACUGCUCGGAAAAGCUGCUAGAGAUCUUGUUUAAAUUGAUGCUGAGAAUUUAUAUUAGGUAUUUAAACCAGCUAGAUGAUUUAAAAGCCUAGUAACUAAAGAAUUUUGUUGAUAAUAUGAUUGCUAAUUAGCUUUCUACCCUAUAAAAGUUAAUGUAUCACCCAAUUAGUAGUUUAGUGCACUGUUCAUGCAUAUGCUUAAUAAUGUUCCCAUGACUGUCAGUAUUGCGGUGCUUGUUCAGUUUAUUUAUUCUUGAAAGUGUUAUACUAUGCAAAUCAGAAUCAACACACACACACACACACACACACACACACACACACUAAGAAGAAGGCCUUCGGUUUCGUUUCCACUUUUAAAUGUCCUCUUGAGUUCUAUCACGGUGUAUUAUAUUCGUACACCAUAUAUUACGGUACACAAAAACUUUAAAGUGGCAUUUAUAUGUAAACAGGGGUAGUAUUUGGAAAGCCAAUGAUACAGACAUUUUCUUUAUUGAUUGCACAAAUUUCUAAGUUGUUUUCUUGAUUGUUGGAAGCAGGACUUGGACCUCUCACACAAUUCUGUGUUAGGUUACGUUGACAAGAAAGCUGUACCAAGUCUUAAUGGAUACCGGGUUGCUAAUAAAAUUCUUGAGCUUGUUCCAAAUGUGGAGGUGGAUAUAGUGAUUCAGCUUAUUCUUUACCUCAAUAUUUUCAUCAAUACCUCUGACUAAAAUUUAAAUUAUUUACAUGCAGAACUUUCGGACAACCCUCAGAUGUUUGAAGUUAUGGGGUAAUAGACGUGGUCUCUAUUCAAAUGUGAGAUACUAUCUUUCAGUUAAAUGUUGUUUAAGUCGCUUAGUUCACUGAUUGCAUGUUGACAUUUUCAAUUGUAUGCACCUUGUGUGUAGGUUACUGGAUUUUUAGGCGGCAUAAAUUGGGCUAUCUUAGUUGCUCGGGUUUGCCAGCUUUAUCCUAAUGCAAAUCCUAGUAUGCUUGUUUGCCGUUUUUUCAGAGUUUAUACAGAAUGGAAAUGGCCAAACCCCGUGAUGUUAUGCCCGCUCGUAGAGAGCAACAGACGUCGAUUUCAUGUGUGGGAUCCUCGGAAAUAUUUAAAAGACCGAACCAGUGUUAUGCCAAUCAUAACCCCUGUAUAUCCUUCAACGAAUUCUAGUUAUAACGUUUCAACUACUACGCUGAAUAUCAUAAAGGACCAAUUUGAAUUUGGGAAAAAGAUGUGUGAGGUAAAACAUAGAUAGAAAAUUUUCACAAUGGCACUCCCUCGCCCCUCUCUCCGAGAUUAAGCUUCUUUUGCUUUAUUUAAUAUUGUAGCCUUUGCUUUUCUUACCAGCAAAUUGAGCUCAGGAAUGGUCAAUGGGACUCUUUAUUUGAAUUCUAUCCGUUCUUUGAGGCAUACCCAUGCUAUCUGCUGAUUAAUGUUUCUGCCUCGGAUGAGGAAGAUCUUUUAGAUUGGAAAGGUUUCGUGAAAUCUCGGCUCAUGAAACUUACUUUGAAGGUUAAUAUUUUACUUUAUUUACGUAAAUCAGUAGUAUCUCCAGCUCAGCUAUUCCAUGUUUCUUUUCUUUCCUUGUGUUCUUUUGUAGAUAGAACGUGCUCAUGAGAAGUUACAGUGUCAUCCUUGUACAAAUGCUUAUACGGACGAAUCUAUAUCACCUGCACGACAUUGUGCAUUUUUCAUGGGGCUUAAGAGAAAAAAAGAAGAAACAACUGAAGAGGUCCAUAUGCAAACAAAUGAAGAGGUCAAUGUGCUUGCAACUGGUGCUCAGUUUGCUGAUGAGGUAAAGGGUAGAUACCCAAACUGGAAACAGACGAUGGAUAUAAACUUGAAUCUUGUUCGCAGGGAGGAAAUGCCAUCAUAUGUUUUUCGCCAACAAUCUGUGCUCUGAAAGGUUGAAAUGCAAAUGGCGGAGGCCGUAAGUGAUAUGGAAACUGAAAUCCUGGAUGCAGUGGGAACCGGAUAUUUUAAGAGGCUUCAUUGAUAAGCUAUAAGUGUCCUUUUAUAAAAUUGAGUAACGAACAACUUAAGUGCCUAACUUAUACAUUGAGGAAAACUAUAGUUAAAUGUUUGAAGAUACAUGCUUAGCUUUAAACAGUUGUCUAAAUUAACUAAUGUCACAAAAUAAAGCCUUGUCUCAUGUAAUGGAACAUGUUUCCAAGUAUUAUUAUUUGCAUGAUGAUUAAUUUGAUAUGUUGACUUGAGUGCAUGCAUGGAGAUCAUUAAUCAGUUUCAGAAAGUAAAAUUUAGAGUAAAACAUCCGCUGGAACUUAAACAUUAAGUAAAAUUGAAUGAAUGUGCAACAAUGAAGAGGAAACAACAAUUUAGAAAUCCAAUACAGUAGAAGCGAGCUUUGAUAUAUGAGAAUCUCAUAAUCAUUAAUCUAUCUUUCGUUGUGUGGCAAAACAACAUGGCAGAUACAUUUGUUUAAAUAAUUUACUUGGGAUUACUUGAUUUGGAUAAUUAAUAACCAUCAGGAGUUGGUGGAGAAGUUUAGUAGUAGUCUGGAGUGCUUGAUGGAGAUGGAGCCGGGGAUGGUGACAAGUUGAAGACAUACUCAGGUGCUAGUGAUGGUGAUGGUAUUGGUGAAGAUUCGUAGAUGUAAGGUGGAGGAGACGCAGAUGGUGAAGAUUCGUAGAUGUAAGGUGGAAGAGACGGAGAAGGUGAGGGUGAUGAUUUAUAAAAGUAGGGAGGAGGUGGUGGAGAUUUGUAGAUAUAAGGAGGUGGAGGAGACGGUGAUGGUGGGGGUGGUGAUUUAUAAAUGUAAGGAGGGGGUGGGGAUGGGGAUGGAGGUGGUGGAGAUUUGUAGAUAUAAGGUGGUGGAGGAGAAGGGGAUGGUGGUGGUGGUGAUUUAUAAAUAUAUGGAGGAGGUGGUGAUGGGGAUGGAGGCGGUGGAGGAGAAGGAGAUGGUGGUGGGGGCGAUUUAUAAAUAUAUGGAGGAGGGGGUGACGGGGAUGGAGGAGGUGGUGAUUUGUAGAUGUAUGGAGGAGGUGGGGAUGAGGAUGGUGGUGGUGGAGAUUUGUAGAUAUAAGGUGGUGGGGGAGAGGGGGAUGGUGGUGGUGGGGAUUUAUAAAUGUAUGGAGGAGGUGGUGAAGGGGAAGGAGGAGGUGGGGACUUGUAAAUGUAUGGUGGGGGUGGUGACGGGGAUGGAGGUGGAGGAGAUUUGUAAAUAUAAGGAGGCGGAGGGGAGGGUGAUGGUGGUGGUGGUGAUUUAUAAAUAUAUGGAGGUGGUGGUGAUGGUGAUGGCGGUGGUGGUGGUGAAGGGGAUGGUGGUGGCGGUGAUUUAUAAAUGUAUGGAGGAGGUGGUGACAGGGAAGGAGGAGGUGGUGAGAGGGAAGGAGGAGGUGGGGACUUAUAAAUGUAUGGUGGAGGUGGUGACGGGGACGGAGGUGGAGGAGAUUUAUAAACAUAAGGAGGCGGAGGGGAGGGGGAUGGUGGUGGUGGUGAUUUAUAAAUAUAUGGAGGAGGUGGUGAGGGUGAUGGUGGUGGUGGUGAUUUAUAUUUAUACGGAGGUGGUGGUGAUUUAUAUGAAUAGUGUUUCGGUGGUGGUGGAGGAGAUUUAUAAAUGUACCGAGGUGAGGGUGAAGUGUAUCCAUACCGUUUUGGUGGUGGAGACGCAUAAACGGAGUACCAACUGUCGUGGGCACUUACACUAGCCGCCACCACACAUAUAGCCGAGACAUAUAACAGGCAAGCCAAAAACUUGGCCAUUUCUAGUCCUAGAACUUCAACUCUUCAAGUAUGAUAUAUAGUAUAUAUAUGAACUGUCAGCCUUCUAUAUGUAUUAGUAAGAUUACUUCAUACUGUGAAGUGUGAAUGCUACAUUAGAUGUAAUAGCCAGACUUUAUAUACUGAUCAUUUCAUGGGUACUUGACUAUGAUGUUUGGGAUAAUCUGGCUGCACUCCUUUGUACAUACUGCAUGAACUAGUCAAAAUAUAUUUAUACAUUCCAGGCUGCCAGUACAUUCCCAGACCUUUUCACAAAUCUCUUCUCCUGAAGAGGACAAAAAACCUGCAAAAUGCAUUUAUGAAUGAACCAAAAAACUAUAGACCUGAUAAUUAAGUGCCAAAUGCCAAUGUUGGACCAAGUUGAAAUAUAUUCAAGAAUCUGAUAUCUGCGUGACUUUUAUUGAAUUGCAGUAUAUAGGAAGAUAGAAUGAGUUUAAUUUUUUUGUUUGGAGCAUCAGUGCCACUGAGACAUCAGAGGACAAGUACAUACAUACAAGCUAGAGACUGAGCAGGUUUUCUGAAUGUUGAAUUGAGUCUGGUUUUACUUAAUUUCUUGACCGUACUACUCGUCAGAGCAUCUCCGAUGGUUGGCACCCUUCAAAGGGUGCCAAUUUUGACACAUAACUCAAAAUAUUAUUUUUUAUAUUCACAUUCUUCCAAAUCAUCAAUGGUUGGCGCUGCAAGACCCAAGUUGCCAACUUUAUUAAUAGAGAAAUAAUUUUUUUUUUGCUAAAUGAGAAAUAAUUUUUUAUGUAUUAUUGGGACCACAAAUCUAUAUUUUAUGUAUUAUUGCGACCACAAAUGAAAUUGGCACCCUACUUUAUGGGUUGCCAACUUUUGGUACCCAAAACCAACUCACUUGGCACCCCAAUAGCACUCUAAGUCUCCAACAUCUCUAAUAACGGUGCCAACGAGAGUGCCGGUCCAUGUCAUGCCACAUGGUAUUGACACCUUCCACCGAGAUGCUCCUAAAAAUCUAGAUUGGUCUCGCUCAUAAUCUUAUCCCGAAUUUUACAAGACCAAACUAGUUAUUUAUUUAUACUAUAUUUUUACAUUGGUUAAUCAGAUUAUGCAAAUGAUAAUGUAAUUAAUGUAUAACAAGAAAAAAAUCAUGAGUACAAUUUUAUAUAUUUUUUACUUGGAAAAUACCUAUUCACUCUCAAAAAACUUAAUAUUAUCAUUAACUACGUAUUGUCAAUAUAUAUUUUUUCAAAUUUUAUUAUUCAGAAUUUUCAAAUAACAAGUUUUAAAUAUUCUUAACAAGUAAUUGUUGAAAUUAUAAUUUCGAUUUUUGUCGAAAUGAUAAGUUUGACAAAUUUUCGUUGAAAUUGAUAUCAUAUAAUAAAAAUUCUAUUAUUAAUUAAUGAGAUGAGUUCUAAUUAGAUAAUGCGAAAAGUCCACCUACAUGACUUAUAUUUAGAUAAUGAAAAAGAGUUUGAUUAAUUAUACUAUAUAUUACAAAUUAAAUUGUAUCCGUUAGCUCAUGAUUAACUUGUACAUGACUUGGAUAAAAUUUAAUGGAAAGAAAAUUGAAGAAUUGAUAUUACUGUUUCAAAAUUUAGGACGGCAUCUGAUUAGUUAUAAAAUAAUUCGUCUUUUCUUAGAUUGCACAAAAUUAAAUUUAAAUUAAUUAAAGUAAAUUUAAAAUUAUGUUAUUAUCUAAUUCUAUUAUUAUUGAGUUAUAUAAUUACAUAUUGAAAAAGAGUAUAAUUAGAUGACUUAUUGUUAGAUAAUGAAAAUGAGUUGAUUAAUUAUAUUAUUAAUAAUAAAUUAUAUUAAUUAAAUUAAUAUGUAGUUUUUUUUGAAAGAAAAAUUAAUAUGUUGUUAGUAUUUUAGUUAAAAAAUUUAAUGGGAGGAAAGUUGAAUGGUGAAUACCUGUUCGAUCCAAAAUUUAGAGAUGAUAUCCGUUGUUCCUAAAUCAGUUUUUUUUAUGGGCUUUUUUUAUUCAUAACCAAGUUUAAAAGAAUUUUUUCGAAAAUACUACCACUUUUUAAAACAAAUUGUAAAAAUACUAACUUCUCUAAAAUCUUUCCAAAAAUAUUAUCUUUUUGAAAAUAUUUUCAAAAAUACGGUGGUUGCAUAUGCAAUCAUAUAUGCAACUGCAAUUCCUGAUUUCAAGUUCCAGUUUUCAAAUGUCAUUUUCGACCUCAUCUUUGGAAUCCAUAUAUAUAUAUNNNNNNNNNNNNNNNNNNNNNNNNNNNNNNNNNNNNNNNNNNNNNNNNNNNNNNNNNNNNNNNNNNNNNNNNNNNNNNNNNNNNNNNNNNNNNNNNNNNNNNNNNNNNNNNNNNNNNNNNNNNNNNNNNNNNNNNNNNNNNNNNNNNNNNNNNNNNNNNNNNNNNNNNNNNNNNNNNNNNNNNNNNNNNNNNNNNNNNNNNNNNNNNNNNNNNNNNNNNNNNNNNNNNNNNNNNNNNNNNNNNNNNNNNNNNNNNNNNNNNNNNNNNNNNNNNNNNNNNNNNNNNNNNNNNNNNNNNNNNNNNNNNNNNNNNNNNNNNNNNNNNNNNNNNNNNNNNNNNNNNNNNNNNNNNNNNNNNNNNNNNNNNNNNNNNNNNNNNNNNNNNNNNNNNNNNNNNNNNNNNNNNNNNNNNNNNNNNNNNNNNNNNNNAUAUAUAUAUAUAUAUAUGGCAUUGCUCAAAGAAGAACACCCUUAAAAGAAGAACACUUUGGAAUCGAACAUAGAAUCUCAUUUAAAACUUGAAUUAAACUCUGAGUUUAAGCUAAUCAAACUUUUAUUAUGAAUAAUAAUAGUAUCAAGCAUGUUUAACAACAAUUAUGGAUAAAAAAUAACAUGAUUCUAUGUAAUAUUAAUCGUGCAAAACAUACAUAUAUGAUUCUAUUCUAGAUUCUACUCUGGAUUCUAUUCUGGAUUCUAUAAUAUUUUAUAUUAAUAAUUUGGAUGAGUUUGGAUUUUAGAUUUUAUAUAUUGAGUAUAAUUGGUGUUUAACUAUGUAAUUAUGAUCUUAACAAAUCGUNUGCUCAAAGAAGAACACCCUUAAAAGAAGAACAAUGAACACUUUAGAAUCGUAUAUAGAAUCUCAUUUAAAACUUGAACUAAAUUCUAAUUUUAAGCUANGUUUUUUGUGAAAAAUAAGGUGUCAUGAUGGUGUUCUGUGAUGUUCUUUUUUUAAAGUGUUCUGUGUGCAACCCAUAUAUUCCAAGGAUGAGGUCGAAAAUGACAUUUGAAAACUAGAACUUGAAAUCAGGAAUUCAGUUGCAUAUAUGGGUGCAACUAAAAACUAUAAGUUACAACGGAUGUAUGGUGUGCCCCUGGCGGGGCCAUUAGAUUUCCUGUUUUGGAUUCUAUUCUGGAUUCUAUAAUAUUUCAUAUUAACAAUUUGGAUUUCUUUGGAUGUUAGAUUUCAUAUAUUAUGUUUAAUUGGUGUUUAAUUAUGCGCAAAUAAAGGCAACUGAAAACUGUAAGUUACAACCGAUGUAUGGUGUGCCCCUGGCGGGGCCAUUAGAUUUAUUUUUUAUGAAAAAUAAAGUGUUAUGAUAGUGUUCUUUUUCUAAAGCGUUCUGUGUGGAGUGCAACCCAUAUAACUCCACACUAUAAAAAAAGAACAUCACAGAACACCAUCAUGACACCUUAUUUUUCACAAAAAAUGAUUUGUUAAGAUCAUAAUUACAUCUAAUGCAACCUCAUAUGCAACUGAAAACUGUAAGUUACAACAGAUGUAUGGUGUGCCCCUGGCGGGGCCAUUGGAUAACAAUAGAAUCAACUGAAUGCAACCAUAUGCAACUGAAUACAACCAUAUGCAACCAUAUAUGCAACUAUAAUUCCUGAUUUCAAGUUCCAGUUAUUGACAUUUGAAAACUGGAACUUGAAAUCAGGAAUUGUAGUUGCAUAUGCAACCACCGUAUUUUUGGAAAAUAUUUUCAAAAAGAUAGUAUAUUUGAAAGAUUUUAGAAAAGGUAGUAUUUUUUAAAAUAAGAUCGGAGAAGGUAGUAUUUUUGACAAUAAGAUUGAAAAAACAGGAUACAAGGUAAUUUACCUUUUAUUUACUUAUUGGUUAACCAGCAGUUCGGAGGUAUUACCAUAUUAUAAUUAAAAUAAACGAUUUUGAGAAGAGGGUAAAAUUACAAACAAAAUUAGAAAAUCAUUAUCAUAUAUAGUGCCUGUUUGGCAAUUCACAAGAAGCGCUUAUUAUUCGUAGAAGCUGAGUUCCGCUUUUCUUGACCCGUUAGUGUAAAAUAACAGAAGCACUUUUUAGAAGUUACAAAUGUUAACUUUUCUCUGACAGCUUCUUUUGCUUAUUUCCCAAACACUUUAAUCACUUAUAAGUAUUAACUUGUUUCUAACUUCUACUUCACAUUUUUACUUUAAUCAAGAAGCACUUAUUUUAAACUCACCCAAACGGCCCCAUAAUUCUUGUUCAAUUAUAAUCAACCUAAUCCAAGUUGCCAUGCAACUAAAAUUCUAAUAUGAUUACUCCUUCCCAUCAUCCCAUGUAUUACCAAACAUCUGUGCAUCCUAUAUAUUAUGGAAUCACAUUGUAUUAAGCCAAAUCGAAUCUAGCCUUGUUCGAAAACCAAUGGCAAGAACAAAGAAAUCGAAGAGAUCAGAGCCACGGAAUCCUGUUUUGCCUAAAGAGAUGGUUGCCAAUAUACUUUGCUGGCUUCCGGGGACGUUACUGGUCCGGUUCAGGUGUGUUUGCAAGACAUGGCAAUCCAUUAUCACAGACCCCUACUUCAUUAAAACUCAGAUGCACUGCAGCCAAAUUAUGGCCAUGAAAAAGGGCUCAUCAUUGAUGAUCACCACGGCGGCCACUUAUAAUAACCGCCCUCGAUACGCCUCCAUAAGCUUUCAGCAUUAUCUACACUUACCAGGACACUACAGAGUUAUUGGAUCAUGUAAUGGUAUUCUAUGUCUUCGAAACAGUGCACGUUAUUAUCUCUGGAACCCGGCAACCAUGCAGUCCAAGGAACUUCCUAAAUACCCUGAGAUUAAUGGAAGGACUAUGAUUUAUUACUUUCAUCAACUUCAACUAGCCUUUGGUUUUGAUGCUCUCUCUGAUAGCUACAAGUUUCUUAGAUUUAUUUGUCCAAAUACAAUUGAACUGAAUGUUGUACCCGUUGUCACUACGCCAUAUAUGGCCUACAACAACAUCGGAAAAAUGAUGCCAUAACCCCAAAAUAUGUUGCAAUAGCCCGAAAAAUGGCUAUUGCAACAUAAAAUUUAAGUUGCUUUUUUCGAUGUUGCCCUAGGCUUCUAUUGCAACAUUAUGAUUAUCUACUGCAACAUGGGGUUUGCUGUUACAAUAGACAUGCUACUGCAACAACCAACUACCCUAUUGCAACUGAAAUUUUAUGUUACGUUAGACCUUCUGAUUUUAAAAAAAAUGGGACCCACAUGUGGGUCAGACACGUGUCAGUCCCAUGUGGAGGUCAAAGUGUGGGGCCCACAAGGGCUACUUUCUACAACAUAUUUUGUACUAAAUAUCUGAAUAUAUGUGUGGUACUGCAACAUUAAACAACUAUUCAAAAGUUUACUAUAUCAACAGCAAAAUUAACUAAUCAUUCAUACAAACCAAAGUUCAAAAAAAAUCCAACCAAACUAAACUACCUAACAAAUCCAACUCAUCCUUUAGGUCUUCUUCACAAAAUCAAUGGUGCAAGAGCCACAUGUUAUAGUGACAUAAAUGUUCACAAAAUCAAUGGUCUUCUAUCACUGGUUUUACCUUCUUUGUGCAGCCCCAGAAGAGGUAUAUUUAGUAACUUUAAUUUUUUACUUUAAUUGUUUCUUUAAUAUUCCAUAUUAUUAACCUGUAAUUCUUAUCAGGAAGUUAAGAAAUAUAAGCUGGGAGUUCCUAAAUCGUUUCACUAUCUUAAUCACAUACUAAGAUUCUCUGCUCUUCAUUUUAUUUAGUUCAAGCUUUUAGUCAAGUAGAAAAUCAACUAGUUUCACCCCAUAUUAUACACAUCAUGACAUCAGUGAAACAGUUCAUUGCCAUGUUAAUGCAACUAAUUAAAACAUUAAUUCAUUAAUGAAUAGUCAGACUACCAGAUACAUAAUAAAAGCUGGUCAAGCUACAAAGACAAACUUUUCAACCUAAAACCGGAGUACCAGAAACAAGCACAUAUACAAAAGCAUACAUCAUAAAAUUACAUACGAUAUACACACACGCCUGUUUUCAAAAUCCAAGAACAAAAUCGGAGUACCUUAAGCUGAAGAAGCGCACAUCAAAGAUUUAAAUCAGUCAAUCCCUAAGGAACCCAAAGCCAGCCUAAAACAGAACAAAGAUAUAAAACAAAUUAGAGAUAGAGUUGAAGGAUCUAAGAAAAGAAACAAUAUAACCAAAAAUCCCUCAAAUCAAAAGCAUGAAAACCCCCAAUUUUGAUUCAAGCACAAAUCAAUUGAAUAAACCCCAUAUUUAAUUCAAAAUCCUGGUGAUUUGUGAGGGCUUUGCUCCAAUUUUACGAUAACGAGUGAAAUCGACCUCAUUUUUAUCUAAAGAGAUGCGGAAAGAGAGAGCGGAGAGAUCGCGAAGAGAGACGAGCUACGGGAGAGAACGAGUCAAUAAAGCGUGUUUGAUACUCUGAUUGUUAGAGAAUCUGGACUUGUGUGAGUACUGCUUUGUGUCCUCAAAAAAUUUGCCGCUUCAAAUUUUGUCCAAAUAUUUGGAGCCCGUCGUGCGACAAAUGAAAAAGCCAUUUCACUUGUUUUAAAAUUUUUAACAUAUUAUUUAUUAAAAAAAUUCUAUUAAAAUGUUUGUCUUUUUCUAAAAAUUAAAUUAUAUAAUUAUUUGAAAUUUAAAAAUUUUAUGUUAAAAACUAGAAUUUUAUUUUACGAUAUGUCUAAUUAUUUAUCAAAUUUAAUAAAUUUCAAGAUUAAAUUAUUCAAUUUCAUAAUAAUUUAAAAACAUAAUCAUUUAAUAUAGUUUUUAUUUUGAAAAAUAUAAUUCAAUUUCAGUAUUAUUAUUUUAUUCAUAAUUAAAUAGUUCAAAUUUAUUAUUUUUAUUACAAUUACUUAUUUUAAAGAGAUAUAAAAAUUAAUGUUGUAUUCUAACAUUUAGUCUUUUCCAAUUUAAUAUAUUAUAUUUUAUCUAUUAAUUAUUUAAAAUUAUUUUAAUUUUGUUUUAUAUAAAUUUUAUUAUCAUAUUAUAAAUAAUUAAUUUACUAAUACUCAAUGCAACACAUGUAUUCGGCUAUUGCAACAUCAAAUGGAUAUUGAUGGUUAUCGUUGCGGUAGGUAUGGAUUAGGGCCUCUAAUGCAACAUAAUUUUGCAACAUUCAAGUUCAUACCAUUGCCGUAGGCCAUAUAUGGCGUAGUGUGUGCAGAUAUAUUCCACUGACACUGAUUCUUGGAAAGAGAUCAAAGUUCAUGAUGAAUUCAUAUCGCAAAUUAUUUGUGGCCCAAAUCUAAAACUUGGUCCGGUUAUUAAUGGAGUAUUGUAUAUGGGCAAUACGGGACACCUAAUAUCAUUCGAUUUGCACACUGAGGUGUUUACUGCAGCUCUCUUGUUCCCUAAAUCCAAGUUAGUGAAGUCUGAGAUUUUUGAUUUCGAAGGCUCUGUUGGUGUCGUCUUUGAAUCCAAAAGGAAAAGGUCACGGACUGGUCUAUGGACGCUAGGUGACCUUCGUGGUGAACGCUAUUGGAUCAAGGAGUUCAAUAUUGACAUACAUUGUGUACGUUCUUAUUUGGGUGGUGGACUGUUUUACGGAAAAACUAGAAAAAACUUUUUGUACAACUAUAGAGAUAAUGGAUUCAAGUCUUUUCCACGUCUAGCUAAGGAACCUCAAGCAGUCUUGAGGUACACAGAGACCCUCGCUUCAGUAGAAGGGUUUGAACGUAGCGUUUUAUUCGUAUCUAAGGUUUAUCCUCAAGUGGAGUAAAUCUGGGUGCUUGCUAUCAUGCUAUGAAUGGAUACUUGAUGAAAACAGUCGUGUGGAUAUAUAGUUAUUAACUUUUGUAGAAGCAGUAUACACAGUGAUAACAAGGAAGAUGAGAACUAGAGAAAGAGAAUAGAACCAGAAAGCAAAUUGUAAUUCUGAAACUGUCAAAUCUGUUUGUUACAACUUGUUCAGCAAGCUAUAUACACAAGCACCAACUAAGUAAAAGACCAUAGCACCCUUAACUAAUAUUGAAUUUACUGUAAACAGUAAACUCCUCAGACUUUAUCAGUCCCCCUCAAGCUGAGCAGCCACAGUAGCUCCAAGCUUGCUCAUCAGAUACUUGUGUUUGCUUAAUAAGUCCGAAGAUUUUCAGUUUGGUUGUUCUCUACUUACAUUCUCUGCUGUGAAUGGAUACACUGUCAUAUCUUAUAAUUGUUAGACAUAUGGUUAAGUCCUUUUAAACUUGUCCGAGCUCCCAGGAGUUCUAAAUUGGGUGCUCUGUACCUAUAUUCUCGCUUAUAAGGUGCUUUUUUUCCUUCUUUUUUAGCAGUUAACGUUCUAGUUCCGGAGCGUGAUCUAAUUUUUCAUCCUUAAGUUGAGUUGUUUAUGUUUGCUUGUGAAUAUUGUACUUCGAAGUUCGAAGUGCCUCUACAGCUACCAGUCAAUUUGUUUGAAUUAUAACUUCUGGAGUUUCCUCCCAGUUAAGUGUGUCUUUAUAGUAGAGACUUCAACUAAUCACGAAGCACCACACCUGCCUUACAACUGAAAAGGAAAGGCGAGCGGACGAAGGACCUUCCCGUGGCCUUUUGGCGCGACUUUCGAGGGGGAAUUCAAGUCGGGUCGGAUGGACGGGUUCUCUAUUUUUAUUGGAUCCGACAGUGAUAGUUAGGGGUUAGUUGUUCUAUAAAGAAAGGGGAUUAUGAUGGUUGCUUUUGAGUUGAUUUAUAGUUUGUUGUUUUAGUUGCUUUUUAGGUUGCAUGUUAGAAUUGACCCCAUCUAAGGUGUUUUUCACCCGCCUUUUGCAACCAGUUGCAACUUAUUAUGCAAAUAAAUAUAAUUUUCAAAUUUUUUUUCUCAAAGUUGCAUUUCAAAGUUGGAUCAGGUUGCUAGCAGUUGCACAUGUGGUUGCAUAUUUUUGAAAAUAUUUUCAGGGAUAUAGUAUUGUUUCAAUUUGUUUUAAAAAGUGAUAGUAUUUUUGCAAAAAUUCUUUUAAACUUGAUUAUGUAUAAAAAUAGCCCUAAAAUUUAAUGGAGGGAAAGUUGAAGAAUGAAUAAUACUGAACUAAAAUUUAGGAUAGCCUCUGAUUGGUCAUAAAUUAAUUCAUCUUUUCUUAAAUUGAAUUAAAUUAAUCUAAAACUACUUAAAGUAAAUUUGAAAUUAUUUUAUUAUCUAUCCUAUUAUUAUUGAGUUCUAAAUAGAUAAUGAAAAGGAAUCUAAUUAGAUGAGUUAUAAUUAGAUAAUGAAAAAGAGUUGAUUAAUUAUAUUAUAUAAAUAAUAAAUUGUAUUAGUAAUUAACUCCUGAUUAAUUUGUAUGUGGUUUAUAUUUUUGUUAAAAUUAGGACGGAAGUUGAAUGAAUUUUUUUUUUAAUUUUUGAGAAUGAGUUGAAUGAAAUAAUUGUUCCAAAAUUUAGGAAUGAUAUCGAUGGUCCUAAAUUAAUUUCUAUUUAGUGAUAGGUUAACUAUAGUAUGCAUGGUAGACCAAGUAUUACCAUAUUAUAAUAAAAGAGUUUGAAAAAAGGGUAAAAUUACAAACAAAUUUAGAAAAUCAUCAUCAUAUAUGUAAUUUUACUUAAAUUAUUAUUCAACCUAUAUAAUCCAAGUUGCCAUGUAACUAAAAUUCUAACAUUAUGAUUGUAAUCCUUCCCAUGUAUUACCAAACAUCUGUGCAUCCUAUAUACUAUUAUGGAAUCACAUAGUAUUAAGCCAAAGCGAAUCUAGGGCAAGAACAAAGAAAUCGAAGAGAUCAGAGCCACGAAAUCCUGUUUUGCCUAAAGAGAUGGUUGCCAAUAUACUUUGCUGGCUUCUGGGGACGUUACUGGUCGGGUUCAGGUGUGUUUGCAAGACAUGGCAAUCCAUUAUCACAGACCCCUACUUCAUUAAAACUCAGAUGCACUGCAGCCAAAUUACGGCCAUGAAGAAGGCCUCAUCAUUGAUGGUCACCAGGGCGGCCACUUAUAAUAACCGGCCUCGAUUCGCCUCUAUAAGCUUUCAGCAUUAUUAUCAACACUUACCAGACCACUACAGAGUUAUUGGUUCAUGUAAUGGCAUUCUAUGUCUUCGAAACAAUGGACGUUGUUAUCUCUGGAACCCGGCAACCAUGCAGUCCAAGGAACUUCCUAAAUACCCCGAGAUUAAUGGAACAGCUAUGAAUUAUACUCAAUUAGCCUUUGGUUUCGAUGCUCUCUCUGAUAGCUACAAGGUUCUUAUAUUUAUUUGUCCAUAUAAUGUUUACUGCAGCACUCUUGUUCCCUAAAUCCAAGUUAGUGAAGUCUGAGAUUUUGGAUUUCGAAGGCUCUGUUGCUGUCGUCUUUGAAUCCAAAAGGAAAAGGUCACGGACUGGUCUAUGGACGCUAGGUUACCUUCGUGGUGACCGCUAUUGGAUCAAGAAGUUUAAUAUUGACAUACGUUAUUGUGUGCGUUCAUAUUUGGGUGGUGGACUGUUCUGCGGGAAAAAUAGAAAAAACAUCUUGUACAACUAUAGAGAUGAUGAAUUCAAGUCUUUUCCACGUCUAGCUAAGGAACCUGAAGCAGUCUUAAGGUACACAGAGACCCUCGCUUCAGUAGAAGGGUUUGAACGUAGCGUUUUAUUCGUAUCUAAGGUCUAUCCUCAAGUGGAGUAAAUCUGGGUGCUUGCUAUCAUAGCGUGUGGAUAUAUAGUGAAGUUAUUUCAUAAGUCCAAAGAUUUUCAGUUUGGUUGUUCUCUACCUACAUUCUCUGUUGUGAAUGGAUACACUGUCAUCUAUACUAUCUAUCUAUACUAUAAUAAGCAACAUGGGUAUAAUUUUGUAGUCCAAGCUUUUAGUUUUUGUCUAUACUAUAAUAAGCCAACAUGGGUAUAAUUUUGUAGUCCAAGCUUUUAGUUUUUGGUUUGGUACUGUGCUUUUGGUACUACAAGUCUACAAAUGUGGAGUAUAUUAGUAUUAUAAAUAGUUUCAAAUACUAAAAACACUCAUAACAAUACAUUAUCAUAUAAUAUUUCGUUAAAAAAAUUAUAAUGAUGUUAUAAAUAAAAUUAUAAAUAUAUAAUUUUGAAUAUCUUUUUUUAACAAAAACCUUCAUAUAACUCUUUUUAACUUUAACGUGUUCUAUUUCAAUAUAACCAUUACAUAACCCUUUCUAAUUCUAAUCUUAAAAGUUAUUGUUGUCAAAAAAACCAACGUUACAAAAUUACGUUGAAAUUCGAUUGAUCAGAUUACUGAAUCUUUCAAAGUUAUUACACAAUCGGCUAUGUUUGGAAAAGAUUAGAAUUUUCUGAUUUUUUUAUUUUUAAAUCUACGUGUACUAAAUUCAGAUUAAAUGUACUAAAAUCCUAAUAUAUAUUGUCAAUUUUUAAGUAAUCGGGAGAAAAUAUAGUUAGUUGAAUAAUAUAAUUUAAUUAAAAUUCAAUCUAUUAAUACUAAAAUACUAAUAAAUGAUGUUAAAAUUUAAAUUAUAGAUAAUAAAUUACGAACUAUAUAUACCCGCCCGUGCUUCGCACGGGUUAAAAGCUAGUAUCUUAUAAUUGUUAGACAUAUGGUCAAGUCCUUUUAAACUUGCUAUCAUCACUACAGAAAAACAUGUCAAAACCGACCAUACAAAUUGGUCGGUUAUGAAUGUAAUCGGUCGGUUAUAUAGCUAAAACCGACCGAUAAAGGUGGUCGGUUAAAUCCUGGUCGAUUACGUUAAUUGGUCGUGUUUAACAUUAAAACCGACCGUAUGGGUGGUCGGUUAUUUGUUGUUGUAUUCCCAGAAAAAUGGUCCUGAUGCCACCUGCAGAGUAUUUAAACAACAAACUAGAGCUUUGAUAAUAUUUUAAAGGUUAAUAGGCUAAAAAAUAAUUGAACUGAUUCAAAAUUUAAUGGAAAUAAAAUUGAAGAAUUAUAUUACAGGUCCCAAAUUUAAGGCGACAUCUGAUUGGUCAUAACAUAAUUCGUCUUUUCUUAAAUUGAUCAAAAUAAAAUUUAAAAUUACUUAAAGUAAGUUUAAAAUUAUGUUAUUAUCUGAUUCUAUUAUUAUUGAGUUAUAAUUAGAUAAUAAAAAGGAGUAUAAUUAGAUGAGUUAUAAUUAGAUAAUGAAGUUGAUUAAUUAUAUUAUAUAAUAAUAAAUUGUAUUAGUUAACUCGUGAUAUGUGGUUAAUAUUUUGGUUAAAAAUAGAAGGGAAGUUGAAUUGUGAAAUCGAUUGCUCCAAAAUUUAGAGAUCAUAUCUGUUGGUCCAAAACCAAUUUUUAUUUACUUAUCGGUCAACGUUGCCAUGUAACUAAAAUUCUAAUAUGAUGAUACCUUCCCAUGUAUUACCAAACAUCUGUGCAUCCUGUAUAUUAUGGAAUCACAUAGUAUUAACCCAAGUACCCAACGCGAAUCUAGCCUUGUUCGAAAAACAAUGGCAGGAACAAAGAAAUCGAAGAGAUCAGAGCCACGGAAUCCUGUUUUGCCUGAAGAGAUGGUUGCCAAUAUACUUUGCUGGCUUCCUGGGACUUCACUGGUCCGGUUCAGGUGUGUUUGCAAGACAUGGCAAUCCAUUAUCACAGACCCCCACUUCAUUAAAACUCAGAUUCACUGCAGCCAAAUUAUGGCCAUGAAAAAGGGCUCAUCAUUGAUGAUCACCACGGAGGCAACUUAUUAUAACCGGCCUCGAUUCGCCUCUAUAAGCUUUCAGCAUUAUCUACACUUACCAGAACACUACACAGUUAUUGGAUCAUGUAAUGGUAUUCUAUUUCUUCGAAACUAUGUAUGUUGUUAUCUCUGGAACCCGGCAACCAUGCAGUCCAAGGAACUUCCUAAGUGCCCCGAGAUUAAUGGAAAAGCUUUGAAUUAUAACUUUCAAACUCAAGUAGCCUUUGGUUUUGAUGCUCUCUCUGAUAGCUACAAGGUUCUUAGAUUUAUUUGUCCAGAUAAAUUUAAACCUAAUGUUGUACCAAUUGUGCAGCUAUAUUCCACUGAUAUUAAUUCUUGGAAAGAGAUCAAAGUUCAUGAUGAAUCCAUAUCGCAAAUUAUUUGUGGCCUGAAUCGAAAACUUGGUCCUGUUAUUAAUGGAGUAUUGUAUAUGGGUCAUAACGGACACCUAAUAUCAUUCGAUUUGCACACUGAGGCGUUUACAGCACUCUUGUUCCCUAAAUCCAAGAUAGUGAAGUCUGAGAUUUUGGAUUUCGAAGGCUCUGUUGCUGUCGUCUUUGAAUCCAAAAAGAAAAGGUCACCGUCUUUGAAUCCUGGAGACGGCCCUGACUCACCGACUGGUCUAUGGACGCUAGGUUAUAACCUUCAUGGUGAACGCUAUUGGAUCAAGAAGUUUGAUAUUAACAUACGUAGUGUACGUUCUUAUUUGGGUGGUGGACUGCUUUACGGAAAAAAUAAAAAAAAGAUCUUGUACAACUAUAGAGAUAAUGAAUUCAAGCCUUUUCCACGUCUAGCUAAGAAACCGGAAGCAGUCUUGAGGUACACAGAGACCCUCGCUUCAGUAGAAGGGUUUGAACGUAGCGUUUUAUUCGUAUCUAAGGUCUAUCCUCAAGUGGAGUAGUAAAUCUGAGUACUUGAUGGAAACAGUCGAUAGCGUGCUUCACGUGGAUAUAUAGUGAAGUUACUUGAUAAGUCCAAAGAUUUUCAGUUUGGUUGUUCUCUACCUACAUUCUCUGCUGUGAAUGGAUGCACUGUCAUAGUAUCUUAUAAUUGUUAGACAUAUGGUUAAGUUCUUUUAAACUUUUCCGAGCUCCCAGGAGUUCUGAAUUGGGUGCUCUGUACCUAUAUUCUCGCUUAUAAGGUGCUUUUUUUUCUUUCCUUCUUUUAUUAGCAGUUCAUGUUCUAGUUCCGGAGCGUGGCCUAAUUUUUCAUCUUUAAGUUGAGUUGUACAUGUUUUAUUGCCUGUGAAUAUUGGCCUAAUCUGUACGUUUUUCAUAAAAUAGAGCCCCGAACAUGUUAAUUUUAAUAGUGCCAUCAUAGGAGGACAUGACCAAGUUGGUGUAUCAUCCUUUGCAGUAAAAUUUACAGUAUAAUUCAAAACUUCAGAGCUCCGAGCAUUUUGCCACAGCUGUACUACCAGUUUAGCUGUCCUCAUGACGCAGUGCAAAGGUGUAAGAUCAUCAAACAUUAACACUACAAGAAAAAAGCUAAUAGACAUCAGUUUCUGGCCGAUGUCUUUAGUUUUUUAGACCGAUGUUGAUGUCGGUGAUGUCUAUUCUAGACAUCAGUCGACAACCGAUGUGAAAACCUUACUCACACAUCAUUUUUUUACUGAUAUUCAGAUGUCUAUGCCACCAUUUCUUACAAAAUAUAUUACUUUUACUUAAGUUUAUACUAAAGUUACUUGCAAUUUAAGACAUAUAACAUGUAAUGACACUAACUAAUUAAAGGCUUGAACAUCAGGUUUUACACAAGAAAGUGAUUUCUAUUUUGUUUUAAACAUCACCUUGUACUGAUGUCAUUGUCUCUAUAGACAUCGAUUCCUUUAGAAAAUAACUAAUGUACUUAACAAUUUUUUACAUCGUCUUCAGAUGAUGUCUAUUUUUGUAGAGACAUCAGUCUUUACAGAAAAAUUGUGAUGUGCAUUCUUCCAAUAGACAUCUCUUUGAGGUGAUUACUUUAUUAUUUUUAGACAUCUGUUUUAAAGCAAAAAAACUGAUUUCUAUCUUAGUUUAAGACAUCAAAAUUUGUUGAAAAAUAUGAUGUGCUUCUUACAAAUAGAUAUUACUUUCUAAGGUUAUAUUAAAAAAACUAAUGUCCAUCCAUGCACAAACAGAAUUUAAAAAACUGGCAUCCAUAAUAUACCAGCCUGAAUAUAUAUUGCACCAUCCAAAAUACACAUCCAAAUCUACUUCAAUCCAACCAAACAAAUUCAAUUUGCAAAACCAACAACAAUUCUGCCAUCAACCAACAAACCAACUACUACACAAAGCCAACUAAGAUCAUACGUCGUUCAAUACGCAAAACAAACUACUAAAUACUUAAGCAUAUGCAAACCACUUAUCAUUGUACCCAUUCAAUCCACAAAAGCUACCAAAAAACUACUAGUUACUGCAUAUCAAGUUGUUCACAGUAGAAACCUCCAUUUGUCCGCAACCAAACUGUUUAGACAGUUGAAACCUCGACUGCUAAGAAAGUACUGGUCAUAUGUGGUCCUGGCAGAACUGGAGAGCCUCAAUACGCACUUCAUCAAGCUGCUCCUCGGUGUAAGAAACUCGACUCUUGGCCAGCCACUAACAAAUUCAUGAAAAUUGAUAAGUGCACGUAUAUAACUAAAAGGUAUCUGAUAUAUAUAUAGCAAAACAACUAUGCAUACCUUUGAAGUAAAACUUAAUCUUGUGUCAGUGAUAAUUUCUUUCAUGUAACGCAUGACUACGUAACCGCAUUCAUGGCCACCAGGUUGUUUGGGAGAUCCCUAUUUGAAAAAUUAAAAUUACACCUCAAUUAAACUACUUAUUAACUAUAACUAUGUACUCAAAUGAUAAAGUGUAAAAGUACUUACACUUAAAAACUUUGCCUUAGCUGGCUUGUUGCUCCUACCAGUUUCAGAAUUAAAAGUCUUAAUCGCGCUACAUAUACAAUGUACACGGUUUCAGAAUUGACGUUUAAUUUCCAUCAAAAUGUUAAUUAAGAAAAAUAAAAAAUUACCUUGAUAACUCUUUUUCAAGCUCUGGAAAUUGUGUUGGGUGAGGGAGCGGAUUGAGAAUAUAUAUUUCGCCUUCCCAAAUAAUAGUUAGAAUCCAAUGCAUACUGUUUUCAUCAAAAAUUAUAAACAUUUUACAGCAGAUGUUUCUUAUACAGGUUUUUAAUAUAAGUAAAAUUUAAUAAACAACUUACUUCUGAUUGUGUGGCCAAAAGAACAGCCGAUCCGGGUUACCCUCUUUCAACCGUUCAACAAUGUAUUUUUCAAAAUUGGCAUUUAAGUGAUAAGUGGAUCCCGGGUCAAUAAAUGCAAAUGUCUCCGCCAGUGUUUGUUGUAGGUUUUUAAUAUAAGUAAAAUUUAAUAAACAACUUACUUCUGAUUGUGUGGCCAAAAGAACAGCCGAUCCGGGUUACCCUCUUUCAACCGUUCAACAAUGUAUUUUUCAAAAUUGGCAUUUAAGUGAUAAGUGGAUCCCGGGUCAAUAAAUACAAAUGUCUCUGCCAGUGUUUGUUGUUCAGAGAUCUCAUUAUGCAGGUGCCUACGAAAAAGAGUGCAAACAUUAUAACUACGAACAACUAGCAAAUUAACAGAAAAAGAAAAAGAAAAUAGAAAAUUAACAGAAAAAGAAAACUUACGCCAUGUAAGCUGCAAGUACAGCUUGUCCUAGCAUUUUAAACUACAACAAUGACAAGAUAUUCUCAUCUAUCAAGUAAACUGUCUUUUCAUGUCCAAACACAUCCGGAUAGCAUACAAGCUUUAUCGAAACGCCUGUAUUUUUCAUCCAGAUUGUUGCGUGUUUGUACAAUAAAUUAAAGCCUUUCGGCACCUUUCGACUUGGCUUCACACUAAUGAACUGCGACUUAAUUUUCUGCAACUGAUCAUUCUGAUUUUUUUGUGCACUUGGCCGCAACCUAUCUUUCUUCUUAACCUGUAGAUAAUCAAACCAUAAAAAAUGUCAAGUAUACACAUCACAUAUAUAUUCCUACUACGAAUCAAAAUUCAACAUCUCAAACAAAGAAUUCACAUACCACUGCAGUUGUGUAGCUGAUUAAUUCCUCAGGCCAUGCUACAAAAGAGCCAAGUGCAUCGCGGACUAUCACCAUUUCACCACGUAUCGGCACCGGAAGCAAGGCAUCUGGUUUGAUGAGGCACACUUAUGGCCAUCUGGUAUAUCAAUUCCAUGAACUUUUUCUCUAUCCACGCUAGGAUACACCAUACCAAAUGCAACUUUAUUUUCUUUCUUGUCCACAGAUAAUUCACAAGAUCUUUGCCCCUACAAUACGUAAAUGACCAAAUUAAAAAAAUUAAGGCAAAAAGAAUUUAUAAAUUCAGGAAAUUAUUUAAUUAAAUACAAAAAAUUCAGGAAAUUAUACCGAAACUGCAGGAGGUGUAGGCUUAGGUUGAUCAUACAUGACACAUUCCUCAUCAUCAUCCACAUUUGCCUUUUCAAGCUGUGGACUUUCCUUUUCAGGCUGGGAACUUGCCUUUUCAGGCUGCUUUGGGGACUGAGGACCAACACUUGAAGCAAACAUUGCCUUUAACUGAGCAAUCUCUGCCUCAAGAGCCUGCAUCUUUUUCUCCGUCUUUUCAUCCCUUUGCCGAUCACGGGCCAUCAACUCUUCCUUUGUGAUUCGAAUUUUUUUCUCUCUCGGCAGCUUAAAGUAUUGUUUUGGGGUUAUGUACCCUCCAACAGCCCGGACCUUUCCGGAAUGCUCUUGACUCUCCAAAGCUGUGGUAAGAACAUCUUCAGCUCCAUAGAACUCUAAUUCACCUGCCUUUUUCUUUUCCAACAAAUCAUUCUAUUGACAUAAAAGAAACAGAAUUGGUCAAAAAAUCAAGAAAUUUAUAUUUUAAUUAUAAUUGAUGGCCCUACUAGCUAGUAUGCAAAUAUAAUUUAGAAAGCUUACAAUUUUUGUGCAUACAACAGCAAAUUCAUCAUCGACCUCUGAAACCUCGUCGACCUCAUCGACCUCUGAAACCUCGUCGACCUCAUCGACCUCUGAAACCUCGUCGACCUCAUCGACCUCUUCAACCUCAUCGACCUCUUUAACCUCUUCGACCUCUUCGUCAAUUUUUCGCUUACGAGCCAUUUUCCAUAAAAUGGCUCUAUCAGGUUCGACACCUGGCUCCAACUUGCCUUUUUUGAUCUGUUAAAUUGCAUUUUCCAUAAAAAGUUGUUAAGUUGUUAAAAUCCAUGAUAACUGUGCAGAGAUAAAAGUGUUCUUACUUCAUCUUCUUUUAAACCUAUAUAACCCUUCCUGGACAAGCGGUGAUGAUACUUUCUUUGAGAAACCCUGUUGCUUUGUGCUUCAUUGAUUUUCUAAGAACAACAUCAGCAAAUUACAUGUCAUAUAUGUGCAAAAUAGUAAAGUGAACAGAAAAUUGAGUAGCAAAAUUAAGAGUGCAACAAAUUAUACCGUCCAGGCAGAAUUUGUCCUCUGUUUCACAAAUCGCUUCCAGGUGGACUUGCUAACAUAAGCAUAUCUCCUUGGUGGCUUACUCAACUUUUUCUUGUCUCCAACAAAUGGCAGCACAAACUUCCUCGUCAAAUCAGUUUUAAAUUGUCGCCAUUUCGAGCCAGCAGACUUUAAGACAAUGUCCUCACAAUGUGGACCUAUUUUAAAUGUCGACUGGAAAAUACACAAAUAAGAUAUGAAUUUUAAUAUUACGUUAAAAAUGUGAAUAUAGAAAUGCAUUAUUACAAACUAAAGCAUUAUUACAAAGUACCUGAAUAUCCAUCCAAAUCUUUGCUUUUAAUUCAGGAUCAACCUUGGGCCAACUCUCAAUAUCGAUUGGAACUGUAGUCCUGGCCAACAUACCGAUGUAGGACUGCAAUCGGGCCCUUGUUUCCCCGUUAGGCAUUCCAUACUCAUCACAAGUGACUUUAGACUUUUUCCCAUGAGCCUUCUUCACAAUUACUUUGUACAUUGCGCAUACCCCGCGCUUACCUCCAGAUUCUUUUACAACUGUCCCAGUCGUGUUAACAGUUGGUUGCUCUGAUCCAGCUUGUUGAGGUUCCGAUGCCUGCAAUUCUUGGUUUUCUUGGAUUUGUGAUGCUGUGAUCUCAUUCUCCAGUAGUUUAGUGUCUCCACUUGCAUUACCAGCCUUCUGUGUUUUCUUUUGCUUUUUAGGUGCCAUGUUUCAAUCUGCACAAAUAACACACACACAUUAUAAGUCCACAGUAACUCAAAUAAAAUGCCAAAUUCAAACAAUAUGCAUAUUUCAAACAAUAUGCAAAAUUCAAUCACAGCUAUAAUGUAAAAUGCAGAGAAAAUUCAAACAAUUACAAUGCAAACAAUUCAAACAAGUACAUAUUGCUAAAUUUAACAGAUACAAUUCAAUCAAGUACAUAUUGCUAAAUUUAACAAGUACAAUUCAAACAAGUAUAUAUUGCUAUAUCACUGCUUAACCCAAAUCCCCUCUACAUUUUCUCUUUUAUUACUAACAGUUGCAUCAACACUAAUAGUAGGGUCACAUAUCGGGAUAUGGCAACAGAACGGGGGAGGAUUCCACGAUAUCUCCUCUGGAACAUCUUCGUCAUACAGGGCAUGAUAAUCUCUAGUUGUCGAUGAUAACACAACUGACCAAUGAGCAUCACAUGGAUCCUCAACAUAAAAUACUUGGUUGACUUGGUCAACAGAGACAUAUUUGUCCUUCUUGUGGCCUGGUCGAUUGAAGUUCACGAGUGUAAAGCCAAGAUCAUCGGACUUGAUACCUAUGUCAUUUGAUGCCCAUGUACACAAAAAUAAAGGGGCCUUGAAUGCAUGGUAGUCUAACUCCCAUAGUUCUUCUAUAAUGCCAUAAAAUGUUAAAUCACCCUCUAUAGGAUUUAUAUCCUUAGCACUGGACACUUGGACUGUCCUAGCAACUAAUGACACGCCGCUGUUUUGAACUACCCUAGCAUUAUCUCGCUCCUUUGUGUGGUAUCGGACCCCGUCAACCACAUAGCCUUCAUAAGUCAACACUGAAUAAGAUGGUUUUCCUGCCAACCAUCUUAUUGUUUCUGAAAUGGCUUUCCCGUCACUGAUUUCUGUACUCACCUGCACAUAAAGUCAUAAGGCCUAUAAGUUGAUAUCAAGUAAAUCACAAAUUGAAGAAAAUUGAAAUAAAAUAGGAGAAGAAUGUCACCCAACUGUCUGUUGAAACCAGUCUGCAAAUUGUCGAUUGUGCUCUCCCAAUAGCCAUUGUGCACCCUUCUUUUUUCCUUCGUAAAUUCUUUCCAAAUAUUCCUUAUGCAACCUGAUCAUAAUUACAUUAAAUAAGAAUAAACCAUUAUAAAAAGGGACUACUACAGGACUUAUAAGAAAUACUACGUAUAAAUAAUUUACUUACUUAAUAUAUGCUUCCACUUCAAUAUUAUUAAGGAGGACUGUGAGAUGUGCCUCAUCUCGUUCCUUUUCUGCCACCGACUUCAUUGUCACGCCACCAACUGGACCAGAAAAAUUUUCAUCUUUGUCAAGACCAGCAGUUCUGCUACUCUCGGUAAAGAACCCCGUGCAAAAUUCAAUUGAUUCUUCUUUAAUAUAACCUUCAGCUAUACAACCUUCCGGAUAAAAUCGGUUCCGUACAUAACUCUUCAAUAUUUUAUUAAAUCGUUCAAAUGGAAACAUCCACCUAUAAAAAACCGGGCCACAUAAACGCAAUUCCCUUACUAAGUGGACUGUUAGAUGUAUCAUAACAUCAAAAAAUGAUGGAGGGAAUAUUUUUUCCAACUCGCACAAGGUCAGAAUCACAUCUGAUUGGAGUUUACUCAAUCUGGACACAUCUACGACUUUGUUGCACAAAGAGUUGAAGAAAAAGCAUAAUCUGAUUAUACUUACCCUUACAUUUUUCGGAAGCACGGAACGAAUACAAACCGGUAGUAACUGUUGGAGGAGGACAUGACAAUCAUGGGACUUCAGCCCAUACAACUUCAAAUCAGGCAUUGAGACACAAUUUUUAAUAUUGGAUGCAUGUCCAUAUGGUAGUUUCAUAUUGGACAAUGAUCCCAACAUUAUUUUUUUUUUCUAGACAAAGUAAAAGGGGCAGGAGGUAAGUAUGUCCUCUUUUCUCCUAUUUCAGGAGCUAAAUCAGGCCUUACACCCAUCUCAACCAUAUCAAGAUGAGAGGCAACGCUGUCCUUAGUCUUGAAUUUCAGGUUAAGUAGUGUCCCAAUUAUGUUAUCACACACGUUCUUCUCGAUGUGCAUAACAUCUAAACAAUGACGAACGUGGUGAAACUUCCAAUAUUCUAACUAGGGGUGAACAAAAAACCGUUUAACCCGCAAAAUCGACCCAACCCGCCCUUUAUUUCGGCCGACCAAACCGAACCGUUCCAAACCGAAUAAAUAAUUGGGUUCAAUUUUUUAUAACCCGAAUAAAUUGGGUUGGUUUAGGGUUUUUAAAUAAUUAACUCCCACCCAACCCAACCCAACCCGUUUAAAGAUAAUAAAUUUAUAUAUUAUUUUAUCAUGUUUAAUUAUGAUUCAAGUGAAUGUUAGAGUCUUAGAGGUAAUAUUAUACUAGAAUAAAACAAAUUUCUCAAAUUAUGUCAAGGGCUUACCAUUUUGAUUUAGAUGCUACUGCUUUCAUCGGAAUUUAACAGCAAUUAUCAAUAUAGUUGAUAGUUUAUUCCUUUGUAAGGUCAUGAGAUGAUUUAAAUAUUAUUUUGUAGUUCUUUUCUGUUCUAAAGGUGAGCAUAGAAUGCAGGCCACAUGUAAUAUACAAGUACAGUGGUUGAUAUGUUAGCACACUUGAUAUGUUAGCACACUGGACACUGGUUGAUAUAUUUUGGCAUGGAUAAAUGAUGCUUCUGCAUUUAAGGAUUUAAGAAUUUAUUAAUAUAAUAUUUAAGAAUAUAUGUUUUGCACCAUUAAAAGUUUAUAUUUUGUAGCUUUUGAGUUUUAAUUUUGAUAGAAGAAAACCCGAUAAACCCGACCCUACCCAACCCUACCCGCCAUAUUAAUAAUAGGGUUGGGUUGAAAAUAUUUUUGAGGGUUAACGGGUUCGAAUAUUAAAAACCCGAUUAUAUUGGGUUGGGUUGAAUUUUCGUCACCAACCCGGCCAACCCGACCCGUGUUCACCCCUAAUUCUAACUCAAAAAAAAAUUGAUUUUUUCUUCCAUGCAUACUCCACCUUUUUCGACUUUCCCUCUUUCCCAAAACUGAAUUCAAGUUUCUGUUGUUGCGCCAACACUUCUUCUCCGCUGAGUGGCUCAGGUGCAUCACCAAGUUCUUGUUCUCCAUCAAAAGCCAUUCGCUGCCUCCUAUAAGGAUGAUGACGGUCUAAAUAUCGACGAUGACCUAGGUAACACAUUUUCCUACUAUGAUUUAAAUAUUUAGCCACAGUUUGAUCACCACAGAUUGGACAAGCCAUAUAACCCUUAUUUAUGCAGCCUGACAGAUUUGCGUAUCCCGGGAAAUCAUUCACUGUCCAUAUUAGAACUGCCUUGAGAGUGAAGUAGGAUUUACUAUGUGCAUCAUAAACAUUUGGUUCACCCUCCUCCCAUAAUUUUUUUAAAUCAUCGAUUAAUGGCUGUAGAUAUAUGUCAAUAUUAUUUCCAGGCUCGUGCGGGCCGGAAAUCAAUGUUGUUAACAUCAUAAACUUCCUCUUCAUGCAUAAUCAUGGAGGAAGAUUAUAUGUUACUAACAUAACUGGCCAACAGCUAUACCGAUUGUUUAAUCCAUUAUUAUAUGGAUUUAUACCAUCUGCCGCUAAUCCUAAGCGUAUAUUUCUGUCCUCACUUCCAAACUCAGGCCACCUACUAUCUACAUUUCUCCAAGAAGGGGAAUCAGAUGGAUGACGCAUCUUUCCAUCUUUAGAUCGAUUAUUCGCAUGCCAACUCAUUAAUUUAGCAGUAUCAGCAGAUUUAAAAAGCCGUUUGAAUCUGGGGAUUAUCGGAAAAUACCACAUAACUCUCGCUGGAACGUUAAUCCUAACUUUACCGUCUUUUCCAAUUUUUCAGCGAGAAAUUUGGCACUUUGGACACUCAUAUAAAGACUCGAGAACUGGACCCCUGUAUAAUACACAGUCAUUUGGACAAGCAUGGAAUUUAACAUACUCAAGUCCUAAAUCAGUCAAGGUUUUCUUCGCUUCAUACAUAUUUGGCGGAAGCACAUUACCUUUAGGAAGAAACGAGCCAACAGAUUCAAGAAGAUCAGUGAAGGCCUUAUCACUAACUCCAAACCUAGCCUUCCAAUUAUGUAAUUUCAAGACUGACUCUAGUUUGGUGCACUCACUUCCCUCCAAAAGAGGUUGUUCCGCAUCGGAAACAAACCUCAUAAAGUCAUCUGAUUCAUUAUCGCAUUCUCCAUCAUUAUAGGCUGCUUCACAUACUUUAACCGUUUCGGUAACGUGUGUUGGAAUUUUAGCAGGGCAAGAACUACCCGCAUGUGAGUUAAUAAAGUUACCAACCUCUUCCCCAUGCCAAAUCCAAUCCAAAUACCCUAAACUAAACCCAGAUUCAUAUAGAUGACCCCUGAUUGCAUUGACAGAAGUUUUUUUGAAGUUAGCACAACGUGAACAGGGGCAACGUAUCUUCUUUGGGUUUUUAGCAUUUUCCUCCGCGAAAAUCAAGAAAUUUUCUACACCAAUUUCAUACUGUAAGGAAUCUCUAUCUGCCUUUAUCCAAGACUUGUCCAUUUGAAACCACCUGGUAUGUCACUAAAAUUCAGACCUAAUUUUAUGAUUAAAUAUUAUUAUGUAUAUCUUAUGACCUAUAUUUCAUUUAGCCUACAUCAACCAAACUUACAACAACAGCCUACAUUCAUUUAAUCAAAUGCACAUAUAAUUUAACCACACACUAUACAAACUACAAGAACAAUAAACAACAUAUAAACACAGGAACAACAACCACAGUCAUGUAAUACAUGGUAACUAUCCACAAACUUAUCCUAAAAACAUAUAAACAAGUAACAAAUAACAACCAGAACUGAGAGAGAGAGCUGAGAGAGCGGCAGAGAGAGAGCUGAGCAGAGCUGAGCGGAGAGAGAGCUGCGAGCGGAGGUGGAGAGUGGCGAGAGAGAGCUGAGAGCGGAGGAGGUGGUGAGCGGAGCUGAGGUGGAGAGAGGAGGAGCGGCGCGGAGAUCGUCGAGAGAGAGGUGUGAGUGAGAGAGAGUCGAGAGAGAGAGAG
rnacentral:lncRNA from 1 species